rnacentral:lncRNA from 1 species
UUGCCCAAGGUUCUCUAUUGGGUUCAGCACAGGAUGAACAUAUUGAGUCCUAUCUCUAGCAUUCGGCCUGUUUACCUCUCUGUCUGAAGCUGGUUUAAGCGGACUGCUGACCUCUUUCUCAUCUCUUUCAACUGCAGAACUUUGUUUUCUAGACUCGAUAGAUAUAGAGAAUAAUUCAGAUGACUCUUCUUGGAUAUCAACUGAAUCUUCAGAACCAUUUUUCUCCUCGUAAUUGCCAUCCAUGUUGUCAUCACUCUUCCCAUCAUGCUCCUCGUCCUCUGGAUUGUUCUUUUUCAAACCCAUAUCAACACACUCAUCAUCACUAGAUUCACAGUUCUGGUACCUAUGGUUUGGAGGAUAUGUGAAAAGGCUUGAAAUAGUUGAAUCGGAAAGUAAAUCGGCCUCGUCUUUGCUCUCUUCUUUCUUUGCUUUGCCUUCCUUCUUCUCACUGGAACUAGGAAAAUCUAGAUGACCUCAGGUCUGCUUUCAUCCCUCUUCUUUCGUUUCUGAUCAUUUUCUAGCGCGCCUUCUUGGCUUGGCAUUCCUCAGGAGCUUUCAAAAGUAAAUCAAAUGUGACUUUCUUUCCGAAACUUGUACUCACCUGCUCCUCAUUUUUACCUCUAAAAAAAACAGAAGAACAAAAUGUAAGAAAUAUCCUGAAAUAUUUAAGCAGUUUUAUAUAAAGAAUUGACAAACAUGCACCAGCCACUAAUUUUUCUACAUUUAAAAGGGAUGAAGUAAAAGACCAUAAACAAAGAUGUUAAAGAAGUGAGAGCUUACUUAAUUUCUGGAAUGACUUCAAUGGAUCUGCAAUCUCGGCUCCUUCUUCAUCUGCUUGAUUGCUGCAUAUUAGAGCUUCAUUUACUUCAUGGCUUUCAUUUAAAUUCUGCAAGAAAGAGUCUCCCACCACGAAUCAAGAUCAUCAUUAAAGAAAACCAACGAACUCUCAAAUGUUAACAGCUGAAAAAGCAGUCAUUAUUACUACUAAUUAUUAAACAUGGCUUUCAGUUUACCUGAUUUUUAGGGGAAGUUAAACUUUCGGGCUUUUUGGUUUUGUGGUGCUUUUUGGAGGAGCCAAAGCAAGCAAAAAAGCACCCCAUAAUCGAGUAGCUAGCUAGGCUACUUUCCUUAAAAGGAUGGCGGCUGGUCUUCACUCAGGUACUAAUAUGGUAGUCAUGAUCUAGUUCAAAGGUCGAGAGAGAGAGAGAGGAAAGGAGGACGAAGGAAAGAGAAACACAGUCGAGUUGGUUAUGAGUUUUGAUGAUGCUGGCUGGCUGGCUGGAUAAGGAGAGGAAGAUGGGGAGAUUGGUGGCGGAUGCUUGAAGUCGGAGGCUUUUGACUAGAUUUUGAAAAGAAAUAUGACCGUUGCCCAUUGAAUGCCAGAAGACUCCGCAGUAGACUCAGUAGUCGUAGUCAGCGGCCAAAAAAUUUCUUUUCCUUUUUCUUUUAUUUUGACAAAACUCAAUACCCCAAGUGAUUAACAUAUUACUUUGACCCAAAAAAAAAAAAAUUGAUUAGCAUAUUACGAAAAAAAGGCAGAAGGGUAAUAAAAACAAUAGUAAUUGUUAGUGAUUAAGGCACACCGGGUAUAUGUGGCAGCCAGUACAAUUAAUAAUAUGUGUAAAAGUAUGUUUCUUCAUAGAUUGAAAUAUUAAAAGGGAAAAUUUUUAAUUGUAUAUGAUGAGGUUAUUUGAAAAGUAGGAGAAAGAAGAAGAAAGGAAAGAAAAAAUAAUAGUAGCCAGUGUAUCGAUAAAUGUGGUAAAAUUUUGGAUAAACAUGUAGAAGUUUAAACCGCUAAAAAAAUGGGAACAUAAGAAAAUAUGGUUGAUUUUAAGUUUUGUUUUGCUAGAAAAUGGACAUUUAUGCUAAAUGUGACGCAAACCUUAAAUCCCUAUAUAUUUUUAAUAGAUAUAUACACAUGGACGUAGAUAAAGAAAAGAAUGCCAUCAGAGUUGAGAUCUCAGGAUUUUUAGGGUUUGAGUUUCUAUCUUCCUUCCUUCCUUCUACUCCCUGCUUCUUAUAUAUUCUAAAGUUCCUUACUAGGAAAUAAAAGAAAAAAAUUUUAAAGUAAAGAAUGUCAAAACUCUCCUAAUAUAUUAUUACCGAUUUAUGGACUGAAAUGGGCUAAAUGUCCCAAGGUUCCAGUUCCUGGGUUCAUUUUGUUUUGAUAGUCAAAUAAUAUUUCGCUUACAUCAUAAACAUAUUUUUCAAUCACCUAUCUAUCUCAUAUACAUCACAUCAUAAAAGAUGUUACGAUAAUUAUUUCAAAUAAUACUCUGUCCAAACAAACCAAGCACUGGGAACAUGUUGGUUUGCACGUAACCAGAUCCAUGAUUUGACUGAUGGGCUUAAAUUUGUCAUCCACAUUAGGUUGAAUAGCAGAUCAGAACAUGGUGUGACCCGGCUCAAUAAUGGACUUCUAUAUUUCAGCUUUUGCGAUUGGGUAAUUGACUAAUUUGGGAGACAUGACAUAGGUGAUGGUUCCUAUCGCGAGACAUAACAAAUGAUUUGAUUUGUGUUCAAUGAUUUGAUCCAACCAAUGUAAGAUAUUCAUAAGCAGAUUUACUAUACAAGGUUCAAGGAUUUCAAAUAUGCUCACAAAUCAUAAUGUCCUACAUCCCAUUUCCAUGACCUAAACAUGUGGAGAAAAGAGCUGUGAAGUAGCAACAAGCUGUGGCUUGGUGGCCAAAAAGUAGGACAGAAAUUUGAAAUGAGAAGUUGCAAAUUACUGGGACUUUGACUGUGCUGUGUCAGUAUAUUGCAUCUUGAACGACCAAUUUGCCUUUGGUAAGUUGGUUGAUGAAAAGAGAUUUAAAUUCUCUUUAAAUUAUAAAUUAGGUGUUUGAAAAUCCAUUCCCUUCCCUUCCCGUCCACUCAUGUUCUCUAUCUUCUCUUCAUUGUCAAGAUCUCCUUUUCUCUAGUGUGUAUGGAUUGUAAGUUAUUUGAGAUAUUUUUACUGUAACACUUUUUGUGAUGUGAUGUAUGUGAGAUAAAAAGAUAAUUGAAAAGAUAAAAAAGUGUAUUGAAAAUUGUAAUGGUGAUGUAAGCAAAUAUAUUUGGACAAAUAACUUACAAUCCAAACACACUCUUUGUAUUUUGUUUUAUAUUUACUAAAAUUUCUCCUAGAGUAUUUUAACAAGGGUUUUCUCUCUCUCAGCACUUAUUAGUAAGAGUUUGUUGUCUCCUAAAGUAUUCCAGUAGAUGUUUUAUUAUUUUUUUACCUAUAUCUAAGAAUUUUUGUUUUAGAUUUAUGCGUUUGAUUUGGAACGUCAAGUUUCAAUAUCAGUUUUGAAUUUAAAUUGGUUGGAUAUUAGAUAUAAAAAAAAAUAGAUAUUUAUGGAGCAGUUCGUGCAAAUUAGUUAGAACUGAUAGUUUGUGAUUAGGGUUGCAAACGAAUCGAGCCGCUCGCGAGUGGUUCGAGUCAAGCUCGAGUUCGAGCUCGAACUCGAGUUCAAAAUAUUAAGUUUAUAUAUAUAUAAUAUUUGUUUAUUUUAAGUACAUAUAUAUUUUUUAUUUUAAGUAUAUAUAUAUAUUUUUUAUUUUCUUAUUUUAAUAGUAAAAUUACAUAUAUAUCCUUAAUAUUUUAUUAUUUAUUAAGAAAAAAUUAUUUUAAUUAUUUUUUAAAAAAUAAAAUAAUUUUUUAUUUUUUUCGAUCUCGAGCUUUAAAUUGCCAAUUCGUCGAGCUCGAACUUGAGUUUGGUAAAAUUUAGUCGAGACUCGGCUCGAUUAGCCCAAAUUUCGACUCGACUCGACUCGUUUGCAACCCUAUUUGUGAUUCACAUUAUAGCCUUUUUUAUUUAUUAACAUUGUUGCAUCUAAUGAUUUUUUUAUAUUAGAUAUAGCUGUGACAUGUUUUAUAUAUUUUCUACCAUUUAUGAAAGCUUUUUUCUUUUGUCAAGCGAAUCAUGUUGAAUGAUUUUUAAUUAAUUUAUUAAUAAUACUUAUUAACUUUUAUUUUAUCUAAGAAAAUAAAUGAGGUGUUUGAAACUUCGCACUUAAAGUUAAAAAAUCCAAGUGAUUAUUUUCUUUCUGGAACGUAACAAUUUGCAUCUUCGAUUUCAGUAAUAUUUUCUACAGCUUCUCAAGUGUCCUUCAAACGAUAACUGAUGAUGUCCACCGUUGUAUUUCUUAUGAGCCAAUUACGUUAUGGAGGUAACAAUUGUCUGGAUGGAUAAGUCUUGUGGAUCCUCUUUAGGUUGAGUGAGACUCUCUUUAACGUGCGUUGAGUUAUAGUUAAAUUAUUCCCUUGUACUAUCGUUUGUCGGAAAAAAUUACAUUAGGGAGGUAACUAAAGUUCAUAGUUGUUUAAAUAGCUAUUAACGCUCUUUAGAGAAUUUCAAAUCAUUAAUUACCCAUUAAACAAUCUAUAUAUAUAUACUUUUUUUUCCCUAAUGACAAAUAACACACACACAAAUUAAUAAAUACACACGCACAAGUAAUUAACAAGAAAACGGUCCAAAAACCAAUCUAAGGAAGAUCCACGGACCAACAUAAUCCAAUUAAUUGGUUACAAGAUAUGCGGCUAGCUGUAAUUUUUAAAUUAUAAAUUUUUUCCAUUAUAUGGCCCGAUAAGUCAAAUCAAAUGAAGGCAUUGACAGCUGUGUACAAAUCCGAAGUAUCACCCAAAUGCUAAAAGACGAGAGACUGGCCCCGACCUUCCCUACAUUUGUCCUCCACCUUUAGAGGGUGGACCACAUAAUUCUCAUUCAAAAAUCAUCAAAUUCCUUAGUUCCGUAGUCAUUAUUAUUAUUUUUUUUUUUGCACGGCGACGCAUCUAGCAUAAUCUAGUCUACUCCUACUCCUAAGAGGGGGGACUUACUAUCUAAGGGAAGCGACUCUAGGGAGUGGGCCUAAAGAGUCGGGAGAACCUGACGGGGACUGAAUCACCAUCAGACCAGACGGGUGCACCACUCACCCGCAUGAAUUUAGAAAUUCCUCAUAUUGAGGUACAAUGAUGGGAGACAAAAUUUGAACCCUUGACCUCUCACCCCACUACAUACAGUGGUGGCCAACUCCUCUAAUGGGAGUUGGUUUAGUUCAGUAGUCAUUAGUUACGCACGCAUUUGAACGAAUAGACAGCGUCGUUCGUAGUAGUAAGUAUAAACUAUUUUAUCCACGAUAGAAUUGUUUGGAUUGCGCUUUAUUUAUAUUUACUAACUUAUUUAUAUUAUUAACAUAUUUUUUAAUUAUUUUUUGAUCUUAUACAUAUCACAUCAAAAAAAUAUAACUUUGUUCACAAAAUUAUUUCAAAUAAUCUCCAAUCCAAGAUAUUUUAUUUGCUUACCAUGUAAAUACAUAGCCUCAGCGAUGAAUCUCGCCUUUUUUUUAUCAGACGGUAACAAUUAAUUUAGUUUAUUCUUACUCCUACUCUAAUUUAUAUUAGAGAGGAGAGAUCCAAUAGGAUUUAAAAGAGUCGAUGGAUACUAAACUGCUAUCGGAUCAAAUGAAUAUAUAAUGUAUUUGUAUGAAUUUAAAAAAAUUAUAUAUAGUGAUAUAUUGGAGAGACAAAUACUUGAAUUCUUAAACUCCUGCCUUAUAAAGGCUUGUUGAUUGUGACGAAUCCUACUCUGUACCCUCAUUUCUCGUGCAUUGCAACCUACAUUCAGUACACUGAUGAAGAAUGCUUCAUCUUGAUCUUUAAUUUGACAUAUUUGUAGUGCAAAAUUUACCCUUUUGGUAAAAUUAUUUAAAUGGACACUUUGAUUAUGAUUACACAUGACUGAGUCUCUGGCAAGUUCGGACCGUACCUUUUGAAAUAAUUAUUGUAAUAUUUUUUGUGAUGUAAUCUAUAUGAGAUAAAAAAAUAAUUAAAAAUAUAUUUAUAAUAUAAAUAAAAUAUUAUUUAAAAUAAAUUCACUGUCCAAACAAAGUGAAUCUCUACAAGUUAAACGGGUGAAAGAAAAAGGUACGGCAUAUGCGUUGUGCACGAGAUUGCAUGCAUGGAGAUCCUGAGUAAAGGAAAAUUAUACCCCAAUUUAUGGAAGAAGAAAGGUACCAAUACUUAUUAAUACUCCACCAAUAAUAAAAAGUCUUAUUUAAUUGCGAUUGGGAAAAUGUUUCCUCCGAGACAAUUGAGUACCUUCUCGGGAAGACGCAGACCCAGAAAAUUGUUGGAUGUUUGAGGAAUCAUUGGGCCCCAAGGUUUGAUUGAUUGAUAACAACACAGGCGAAGUGAUGUUGAAGCUUGAAAGGGAUACCAUGACCUGGAGGGCACCACAGGCGCUCCAUUUCCUAUGUCUUUGGGACUUUUUAGGAGCUUGAGCCUGCAGUACACUUCAAAGUUUAUCCACUUUUCUAGAAUUGGAGUGUUUAUUACCUUUGCGUCCUCGUUAAUUAAUAACGGCUUUCUAUUCACGUUUACUUGCCCGUAACCAUGAAGCCGAAUGAGGAUGCAAUUAUUUGUUGGGCUUAGUGAUCAAUCGUUUUGUCUUGCGUAAUACUAAAUCCAACCAACCAUUGUACUUAAAUCAAUCCACGUAAUCUCGAUCGUCACCCAUGUACAUAUUUUAGGAUAAUCUUUAUUUUUAUAUCAUUUAACCUCCCAAGAGAUAAAAAUACCCCUCUACUAUGCCUUUUUUCUUUCUUCUCUCUUUUUUUAAUUCCAAAUUAUAUUUCUUUUUAAAAUUUUUUACAUUUAAGCAACACAAGAAAUGUAGGAUGUCCAUUCUCUAAUUUACAAAAUUGAAGAAACUAUAUAGAUUUUUCUGUGUAAUUAAUUAAGUUACACACUAAUUUCACCUAUUCUUUAAUUUCCCUUAUAAUUAGACAAUUCAAAGCUAAUUGCUUUUUUUAAAUUACACAUUCACAUAUCAGUUAUUUAGAUAUUUUCUUGUUUGUUUUUCUCUAACGGACUUUUGGUUAUUAGAAUCUUUUUUUAUCAUUUUCAGAAAAUAAUCCAAUUGUUAAUGUAUUCACUAAUAUACCUAUUUUUCUCUCAUGUGAAACUUUACCACUAUUAAUUGGAGUAAUCAAAAUCGCACCAAAUGUUAAAAUUCAUCAAAAAAGGGAAAUAGAAAAUUUAGAAAGUAAAGACUUAGCGUAAUAGAGAGGCAUUUUUGUUUUUCAAGAAGUUAAGUGACACAAAAUAAAUGUUAGAGGGUAAAGCAAAAAUCAAGAUAUCCCAUGAAAAGAUAAAUUAUACUUGGCCCUAAAUUUUACAAGGCGUAGCUUAUCUACAGAAGAGUUUGUUUGUAUAAUUUCAUUUGCUCCUAGUUUUGCAGGAAAUUUUUAUAUAUAUAUUUUUUACACGUAUUGGCCAAAUUUAGCAAUAGAAUGAUAAAGUUUCAGAUAAGAAUUUAGUAUAAGUGAUUAUAAUUCCCCCAUUAUUGUUUUUUUUUUUUUUGCAUCGUCUUAUUCCUCUUUUUCCAAACAUUAAGAUAAAGUCAAGUUAAACAAAAGGAAACUAUCUUUACCCUUUUUUGUAAUUGUUUUAACAGGUAGAGAUGGGAUUUAAAAAUUAUCUUUAUCUUAUAUGUGCAUGUGGUACUUUUAUCUUUAUUUUAUAUAUAUAUUUUGAGUUAAUUACUUUUUUACUUCCCACUGAUCAAUCAAAAGCAUGUGUCAGGAGCUGACAACAAUGACGUAUUAUAUGACCAUCCUACGUAGCCUUGACAAAUUCAAGACAACAAUUGAACUAAUUCUUCUUCCGAAGGUAAGAAGAAUAGAAUACUGAGAGAGAUCCAAGCAGCCCCGGGGCUAGUGCGAUAGGGGUGCAAAUGAGCCGAACUCGAGCCGCCAGUCUGCCACUGUUGAACUCUCGUGUCAAAUUUUUACUUUCGUAUCAUGAUAGUUGAAUCCUAAAAAGUCAUUGACGAAAUUCAUGAAUAUACUGAACUAAUUCCUCUACGAAAUAAGAGAGGGAGGGGGGGGAAAAGAGGAAGAUUGAACUAAACCAGUUAUCCAUUUCACUAGGCAAGUUUAUAGAUUGUUCAAAGAAGUAGCUUUCAUCUCCAGCCGCCGCUGUUGAAUAAGUUGGCACCACAACACCACCCUAACUAGUAAACACAGUCGCGAGAGAGCAAAUAUUUUCAGAAAACCAAAAUAAGAGCUAGAGUCUACGGGUACCAAAAAAAAAGUUUUUUUUUUUAUUAAAACAUAUUUGAAUGAAUUCGAUUCCAACCGUCGAUGCAAAUUGCGAUGCGGGGAGAUGAUUUUGGCGUAGACCGGUUUGAGCAACUACAGCUCUAAAAUUAAAUGUUAGUAAAUAAUAAAUGAAGGCCGAAAUUUUAGUUGAUUUAAUUAUUUUUUGCUCAAUUAAAAUUAUUAUUUUUUUUUUUUUUUGGAACGAUGCUUAUUAGAUAGAGUUCCUAUUUUACGUCGCUUUCCUCGAGUACGAUUUUAUGGUCAAGUAGCUUUCUGAGUUUGGAAACGAAAGGAAGCGAACGUGGUCACCUGUAAGGCUGCAAAACGACCCGAUCCACUCGGGUCAAGUUCGAUCAAUAUCGAGCUCGAGUUGAGUUCGAACCCGAACUCGAGUCGAAAUCGAACCCGAACUCAAGUUUAAAAUAUUCGCGAGUUCGAGCAUAUAUAUAUAUAUAUAUAUAUAUAUAUAUUAUUUUAAGUAUAUUUAUUUUUAUUUUUUAUUUUAAGUAUAUAUUUUAUAUUUUUUGAAUUUUAAUAGUAAAAUUACAUAUAUAUCUUUAAUAUUUUAUUUUUAUUAUGAAAAAUAUUAAUUAAUUUUUUUUUUAAAUAAAAUAAAUAUUUUUUAUUUUUUUUCGAGUUCGAGCUUGAAAUUAUCAGUUCGUCAAACUCGAGCUCGAGUUCAAUGAAACUAUGUCAAGACUCGAUUCGAUUAAGUCAAAACUCGACUCGACUCGACUCAUUUGCAGCCCUAAUCACCUACACUCUCGUAUUAUUAUUAUAUUACUAGGAGGGAGAGCCCGCCCGACGCGCGGGAAUUUGGCACUUAUGAUUGAAAAUAAUUAAUAAUUAUUGUUUAAUAUUUUGUAUUAUAAUUUGGCACUUAUAUUUGACACUUAUCAUGUGAUUUUAACAGAAAAAUCAAAAGUUACAUAGUGAGUCAAUAAAAUAAUGUGCAAUGAAAUAUUCUUAUAUUAUAUAAGAAUCAAUUGUGAUCAAAAGUUAUGUUUGAAUUUCGACCGCAAAGAUAAGGAUAGUUUGGAAAUAUAAGAAUGUUUGAAGUGCAAUUGAAAAAUAUCCAAAAGUUUUGUCUAAAACUUAUCCAAGAUUUAAUUUGAAAUUACCUUAUUAUAAAAAAAUUGGUGCAAAUAAUAUUUUCUAAAUUUGAAAUUGUAGGAAAUGGUAACUAAAAUCAAAAGAAAUUGCUCAUAUGAAUUUGAAUUGCAAGCUAUGGUAGAAACUGCUUAAUGAUAUUUUCCAAUGUUUACUUGUAUAAGUAUCCAAUAUAGCAAUUCUACUUAAUUGAGUCGUUUGACCUAUGAAUAAUAGUUGUUUCAAUCAAAUCAAGAAACAUUAUUUAUCAUUGUAUAGUAUACAAUUAUGAGUAAAUGAAUUAAUACAAUGCAAUCAAAAUGGUGUGUUGUUGAAACAUUUAAACUCAUCAAGUUCCACUACAAAUUCUUUUAAAUAGCAUGUUAAAUAAUAUAGCAAAACGAUUUGUCAAAGUAAAAAAACAAAUUUUUUUUGUAUUUGGAAUUCUAUAAACAAUAGAAUACAAGAACGAGAUCAUAACAUGGAAAAGCAAAUAGAUUGCAAAUGACAUCUAGUACUAUGUAGCAUGAUUAAUUUUUUUUUUUAGUUUCAAUGAAGGACAAAAUUCUAAGUUAAUAAAUUUUACAAUCAAAAAAUUUCCAAUUAAAAUAAACACAAGCUGAAUUCCAAAUCAUAUUACAUAAAAAACUAAAUAAAAAUAACUACUUGAACCAUAAUUUAUCCAUAAUAUAAAAUGCCAUAAUAAUUCUAUUCAACCAUCAAAAAUUUUGUCAAGUAUUAAACUACUGGCAGAAUUACCAGGCCUCAAUUCCAUCCUUCUUGCUAUGCUUACUGCAACACCCACACCCAUAAGUCUAUUGCCUCAGAACAUCAAGUCUCAAUCCCCAUCAUUAUUUUUUAAUACUUUACCUUCAAGAAUACUGAUUAGCAAUUUCAAGCUAUCUGAGAUUUUGGAAGAAGAUGUCAAGAUUGGAACUUCUUCAUGGUAACUUUCUUUUUUUUUUUCACUUGGGAAUUUGGAUUCCUAGUUACUUAAUAGUAGCAAGACACCGGGAAUUCUAGAAAUUCAUACUCCCUUAUUUCUAGAACUGUCAAAAUACAUCAUACUUUUACAUGGUUUAGUUUGAGUGAUAUAUAGCAUGUGACGGGGCAUGUAGGUGUAAAUCACGGCAUAUCAGAAAGUCUAAUUAAUACAAUAUUUGAUGUUAGCAACUUGAUCGAGGAGGUGAAGAUGGGAUAUGAAACUAAGCAUGUAUUGGAUCCAGUAUGGCACGAGCUUCAAUGCUUUCAAAAAGCAAAUCAAUCUUUUUCAGGACCGGAGGAGCGACUUCCUCAAGAUCGUCGUCCAACUUGCUUUUGCAAUGCCGACAUGUUAUACCCUGUUCUAAUUAAACUUUGACAUAAUAUCUAUAACUUAUAAGUAAUAAAUUUAUAAGAACAAAUAAGUUCCACUACUUUAAAAAUUAGUUCUACACAACUUCAUUCAAUGAAUUAUAAGCAAGGUGAUAAAAUUAUUAACCUUAUUCAAGAUAUGUGCAACAAAGUCAGGUUUUGAUACCGACUUCAACCUAUUCCACAAAUACAAGAAUCAGAAAAUAGUACAAUUAGUUAGUUUUUGCAAUUAGAAGUAUCAAAAAACAAACUAUAUGGAGUUCUUGAAUAAAUCAAUCAUCGAAAAAAAAAGCCACCUCAAAUCCAAACAGCUCACCUCAAUUUAGAGGAAAGGCUACGCUUUCCACCAAAUAUUUAAUAGCUAUGAUAAAAUCAAAGAGGUGAAACGGAAAAAAAAAAGGCUAUCGGCUGAACAUGGAGGCAUAAUUAUGGUGAUGGUUGUUUAGAGCAAUCUAUUGAACAUGGGGCAUAAUAUAUGAUAAUGGUUGUUCAGGUAAUAAUUAGGUCAAUUAAUUGCAAUUAAAAUCCAAUUAUGUAAACAUCCAAUUAAUUCCUUAACGGAUGAGAAAUGCUUCAGGAAAUUGGAAGGUUUGGGUGUUAGUAUAGUAAAUGAUUAAAAGGCUUUUUAUGUAAUUCUAUCAAAACACAAACUUAAUUUAGUGUGUACACUUGUACUUGAUACUCAACUUGGCACCAAAUAUUGUCACUUACCAAACCUACCCCUAGUUUUAAAUGUCUGAAAUGUUAUAUUAAGUAAUUAUAGCAAAAUUAAAGCUGUAAUAACUUGUACCUAAUGCUCCACUUGUACUUCAAACACUCUCACAUUCCCAAAAUAACCCCACCUUUACGGUUGAAAUCCAAAAUUUAUCUUUACCCUAAACUCAUUCUUAUAUAGUAUAAGGAUAUUGUAAUAAAAUUACGGUUGGAUUUUUUACUGGACUUUUGUUUUACUUCGGAGUUCAAAUGUUGCAAUUCUAACGCAUGGCCCCCCCCCCCCCUUCCUUCGGUCUUUUUCCAGUUUGAAAGUGGCGUUUCGAAUUGGCACUAAAUAAAUUGAAUUGGUUGGUCCUGACUCCUGAGUUAUUCUUCUCUUCGCACAAUAAAAUAUUUGACGUCCAGGUGUUAAAUCGGCACCAUUAUUUUAUGAUGAUUUUUUAAACAAGUGUCUAUAGGAUUUCUCUUUUUUUUUUUUUUUUUUUUAACGGCAGAACCCGGUAACAGGGGAGUGUAACCAGCCCUAACUUUUAUUAACGAGCAUGAGAUUUACAUAUUGAUAGAAUAGAAUAGCCUGAAAAUGAAGUGAAAGAUACGGUGGGAGAUCCAUUUCAACCCUUCACCAGGUGCAUUACGGCUGUUAGACAGACUACUGUUAUUUUAUUUACGCUUCAAUGUCCAAUUUAGACGUAAAUAUUUUUGCUUUAUAGCUUGUAGUAAUUAGUACCUAUAUUACAUUUAUACAAUCUCGAUUUGCGUACCGUCGAAACUCGAAACAGCCGACUGUUUACAGGAUCGUGACAUCGGCCAACCGCCAAAAAGAGAACGUAACAACGAACGAAGCUAAAAUCCACCCGAUACCUUAGAAAAAAAAAUAGAAGUCAUUUCAUUAGAAAAAGGAAAAUUCAUAUUGGCACGAUCACCAGUUACCUUAAAAAAAAGUAGAAACCAGUAGUAGAAAAAGGAAAAUUCAUACUGGAACGGUCAUCAUAAAUUAGGCAAUAAAUUCUGCUAUAUUACUUCGUAGUAGUGUAAUUGGAAAAAGUUGAAGCAGUUAAAGUCAAUCCAGCGCUAAGUGCAAAACCCGGAUUCAGGCAACCUAUCCUAUCCUAUCCUAUCCUAUCAUCAUCAUCAUCAUCGAUGUUCAUCAUCAUCAUAUGACAGGGGCAAUGGGCAUGGGGUGAAGCAUAUCAGCAGUUGUAAACUCGGCCAUGCAUGACUGAGACGGGUGUAAGUGAACUUGGGAUCAUAAACAUGAAAGUAGUACUCUACUAGGAUAAUGCAUGCAUGUGCUGACCCCGUGAGUAAAGUUCAACACUCUUUCCCGACAAAAUGCAAAUCCCACCAUUGAUCCUUUUUUUUUUUUUUUUGGAGAAAGAUUGUAUUUAAUCGGAAACAAGAAAAGAAAAAGAAAUAAAAAAAAAAGUUGGUUAGGUGAUGGCCCAUCUUUAGCUUUUUAUAUUUACAAAAUUGGUGAAUGAUACACCUAAAAUUUUGAAGAAAACUCAAAAAAACAGCUGUUCAUGAUAGAUAAUCAAUGGAAAAAAAAAUCGGAUCACUUUAAAAGAAAAAAUUUUAUCCACUUAUUUCUUGUGAAUGAAAGACUACAAACUCCACCUGUCCCAUAUGCCCCAGCGAAGCUAAUGUUGUGUGUAUUUGUUAAUUGUUACUCUCAUGUCUUUAAUGUGAUUCUUUGUUCUGGUCCAUAAUUACCCAAGACUUGUGGCCAACCAGCGUAGUUAGUAUCAGUCCUAAUAGUCCACUAGAGCCAUCAUCAUCAGCCACCGCACCCAAAAAUUGAAACCAAAGCAAACAUCUCUGUGAAUCAAGACGAAUGUCAGAGGAUGAUGAUGGUAUGUCUUGUUGUUUCUUGAAAGUGGAAAAAGUUUCAAUGCGGUCAGUUUGCGAUGUCUAUGUCACUUCUCUGACAAUUCUGCAGCUUUUUUUCUUUUUUUUUUUUUUUGGGAUAUUUAUCAAAAUGGGAUUUUGCUCUUGAUUUUAGCUUUAUCUCCUGUUCCAGCGCUUUCUGUUUCCUCUCUUUUAGGCUGUAUCUGAUAAGUUUCUUAGAAGAAGGUGCUUUUCUUCCUUGAAUUGCCAUGCCACUGUUGUAAUUGUAAUAGUGAUGUCUCUAUUACACGAAGCACAUGUCUCUUUGCAUGGUCUCUUCCUUUUUUUGAUGCCACACUUGUUGCUUUCUCUUCUAUCUUUUCCGCCUGUAAAUUCUGGACAGUCUUCCAUGGUGGCGGCUGGCUUACUUCUUCACUGUGCGUGUAUGUGUUGUCUUUUCUCGAAUUCAUUCAACAAAUAUUCGGUUUCUUGAUCAAUUUAUAGCAGGGAAGAUUAUUUUCAGUUCGAUGUGAGUUUUGUUAAAGUUGCAGUCCUCAAGGAUAUAAUUUGUUUCUCUUCCCAAAAUACUUCUGUUUCUGACUAAAUUAUCAAUUAUGCAUAAGAACAGGUGUCGUAAGUUUUCCCUCUUAUAUCUUAAUUUUUGCAAUCUGUUCUGUUCAUUAUAGUGUGGUGAAAUUUGCCCUCUUUCUAAUGGCCUUUUUUCUGAUCAUCUUGCUGUUGAUGGGAAGUCAGAGCGGAAGCAAACAACGUGGAAGUUGUUGGUUGAAAACUUAAUCACCACUGAUUCUUUUCCAUAAAUACGAUAUGGAGAAGACUUUACAAGCUUUCUGGUCCACGAUCACAAGCAAUAUGUUUCCCUCUGAAUGGAGGUUUUCUGCAAUGAGUCAGGAGGAGUAUUAAAUGCAGCUUCAUGUGAUUGAUUACAAAAAGUUAACUUUAAUCACAUGUUAUAAUCGAGGUGGUCUUAAAAGUUUCUGAAGCUUCUUUUGCCUGAAUUGUGAUUAUGCUGGGAACAAAUAUGGAGUCUUUCGAUCAAAAGUCUCUCGAAAGAGUACUUUCACAGCGAGCUCUCCAGAUGGGGAAUUCAUUUCCAUGUAAAAUUUGUGUGGUGGGAUUCCUUUGUGGGGUCUGCCUAACCUCGUUGUUUCUGGCUGCUCUCACUUCAUUUGGUGCUUUUGAGCUUGCACGGACUCCUUCCUUAAGCUUUUCCGGUGGAAUUUUAAAAACAGACUCUACUUCCGGAUGUAAGUUCGGUUUUCCCUGCUAUUUUUUCGGUCUUAAAACUUCAUCUAAUUGCGACCCACAUUACUGCUUGGGGUAACUUAUCAUGCCUAAGUUUACAGCUACUGUUGUGGGAUGAGUGUUCUUUCAGUGUCCAUAUGUGUUUUUCUAAUUCAUUUUUACAUGAAUGUGAUUGUUUCCUAAUGAUCCAUAAGCAGAGAAGAUAGUUCUCUGUAGUUCAUUAAUUUGAUGUAGAUUUUGGGUGUUAAUAGGAAGAAGUGCUGCAUUUGAUUUUUCCUCCCAAUUCCUUAUGGCUGGUAGACAUAUUCAAGAUGGUUCCUAUUUAUAUGCUUGUUAUUGGUGUUCAAUGUGACUCCAUUUGUACUUAUCAUGGUUUUGAGUAUCUUAUUUUGGGGGCUCAUGGAGCUUCUAUAUGAUAUAAAAAAAAAGUUUUCAUUAAGGUUGGCCAAUUUUGUCUGAAGGGUGUACUCAAAGUAAUCUUUAGUUGGAAGGAUUCCUAAUUGAACUUUAACGAACAAGUUUUGUGAAAAUGAUUUAGUCAAUUAGCCCCAUCCACUUUUACCAGUCACACUCCUUCCUCAAAGCCACUCAUUCUUCCCUUUGAAGAAGUGACAUUUAGUCCUUUAAUCUACCCUUUUACUUUCUCAGAAUUCUGCUGUCUAGAAUUGGAGUAGUGAAAUAUUCUCCUCCUAGGAAAUGGAGAACAAGAGUGCAUAUGAUCUAUGGUUGGACUUCAGGAAAAGAGACUUUAGUUUAGUGGGUAUUAUCUUCUUGCCCUUGUGAGUUUUGACAGAAGUUGUUACAUCAGGGUCAAAGUUAUUGAGAUUGAAAUCAAGCCAGUUUGGAAUGUGGUAUAACCGCAAGCUGUGUAGAUAUGGAUUUACAUUAUUUUCGAAUUAAGUUGCUUAAUCCAACAAAUCUAUAGAUGAUUGUAACUCACUGAUCUAUGCAUUAUUUUCGAAUUAAGUUGCUUAAUCCAACAAAUCUAUAGAUGAUUGUAACUCACUGAUCUAUGAUGUUUGUUGUUGGAAUGAUCAUCUUUGCAGAUGCCAUUAUAGGUAGUGACUGCAACUCUAAACAAAAAGAAAAGGAAAGAAUAACGUUUUCGCAGAAAAGUGCCAUCAUUGAAAUUGAUGAGAGAGUGCAACGACUGUAUUCAGUUUGGAGUAAUUCUUUAAGCAAAUCUGCAUCUGAGAAAGGUCAGUCAGGAAUCAGCAGAUUGGAUGGACAAAAUUUCCCAGAUGCACCUCACUUGGAGAACUGUAGAUUGAGAGUUGAAAUAAAUCGUCGUCUUGACAGCAGGGCUGAGAACGAGAGCUCCCCACCAUGGACAAUUUGGAAGGGAAUGUUAGAUAAUUUCCCAUUGACAACUGAUGAGCAGCAAAGGUACCUCGGACAUCAAUUGACGUCGGAAAGUGCUUAUCUGCCUUGGGUAUGGUUCCUUGCCCGAUCACAAACUUUUAGUUAUUUAAAAGUUUUUGGACGUCAUUUCAUUGUAUGUUGAAAUUGGUUUUAGUGAAGUUAAAAUUGUUUCACUCUCAUAUCAAUUCGGUUCUAAUUAGAACAUGUGAUAAUAAAAUAAUUCUAACUGCAGGUCAAUUGGCAUAUUAGAUUCCUGUUGCACUUUAACUUGAUUGCUGAAAUUCCUGACUUGAUGAUGCAAGUCACUUUCUAAAUAUUACAUUCAUUUAAAAACCAGUUAUGUCCUUGAACAGAAUAUUAACCAGUAAGUUAAAUGUGAGAAGUUUAGUAUGAAUAGUAGGUCUAAAAUGCAUUGGUGCAUUGCUGGGUUGAUUUAUAGUUUAUUAUCCAGCAUAUGAUGGGCUCUGAUUUGCUCUUGCAGAUAACUGGAUCAGAUGAGGAGAAUUAUCCUUUGACCAGGAAAGUGCAACAUGACAUAUGGUUCCAUCAGCAUCCAUCCAACUGUAGAGAUCCUAGCAUAAGGUUUCUUGUAGCUGAUUGGGAGCGAUUGCCUGGAUUUGGUAUUGGAGCUCAGAUUGCUGGCAUGUGUGGUCUUCUUGCCAUUGCGAUAAAAGAAAAACGGGUGCUUGUGACUAACUACUACAAUCGAGCAGAUCAUGAUGGUUGUAAAGGUAUUGCUCAACUCUGCAUAAAAAUUGAACAUUUAAGUUGUAAUUGAUGUGUCAAAUAGUCUUGUGGAAUAAUUAUGUGAAGUGACUUCUAUAUUUCAAAGGAAGAUACUGUAGCAGUAACUGAAGCCGCUAAUAGCGUAUUUACACUACUUGCUGUCCCCAUCUUUGAGGCUUCUAGCACCAUCAGAGACAACUUGGACUUCUAGCCCUUAUUUGUUAACAAUAACUAAAUUUAUUAAAGAGACUUUAGUUUGUUGACUGUGUUUAAUGAUAUUUAAAAAUUGCAUGGAAUACGGACUUGACUGAGAGGUUUGGAUCAACAAUAGCCAUUUAAGCAAUUUCAUCCAGGUUCAAAUUUCAGAUUCUAAAAAAUGGUGAAAUCGGUUUAGAUUUGGAUCUUCCUUUUCUGAUUUACAUGAUUUUACUUCUCUAAAGGAUCCUGAUGUUCAAUUGUAAAUUUUCAUUUUCGAAUGGUUGUUUUAGGUACUUCACGCUCCAGUUGGUCUUGCUACUUCUUUCCGGAGACAUCCCAAGAAUGCAGAGAACGAGCAUUUGAGCUUAUGCAAAGCAAAGAAGGAUGGGAAAAGGGGAUCAUAAGAGCGAAAGAGAAUUACACUUCAAAAGAAAUAUGGGCUGGACGGAUUCCCAGGCAAAGCGCUAUUAAUUUACUUCUUCCAUAUGUUGAUCCUUCGGAGAACAUUCUAAUGUUCUCUGUCAAUAUUUUGCUUCAGGAUCUGGGGCAGUCCUUGGAGUUAUAUGCAGCCCACUACAGAAAUAAAUGGGACUUUGAUUGCUUAUCAUCAUAAAAUGGAUCGAAGAUGGUGCGUGCUCAGGUAUAUCUUAUGAGGAAAGUCAUUGUUGAGAAAGAUCGAAGGUUUGGAAGCCAUAAUGUCUCAAAACGAGAAGGCCCUAGAGAAAACAAAAGCUACAGAAACAGACUUAUAAUAUUUUGCCAUGAAGCCAUAUAUGCCAAUUAAGUGUUUUAACCACCAUGUGGAUGACAUAUACCAAUAAGAGCUUUAACUAAUUGGAAGGCAGAUGACAACAUCUUUAUAAAUAUUCUCAUUAUGUAUGAGGAUGAUGAAUAGAAAAAUAGCUUGUUAUUAAUGGGUGAGAGAUCGUCCUAUUUGAAGUAGGAACUCCUUGAGUUUCGUUAAUCUUUAUCAGGCAGAAGAGGAAUUCAAAUUUGUCUGCCUGAUUAUCAGUUUGCAUCUCUUGAGCUAUCAAUUUCUCUGUAAAAAUCCAAACUUCAAAGCUUAUUAUACUUUCUGUUCUUGAAAUUUGUCAGGCAGUGCGCUAUUUGAUGAGGUUUCAGUCUGAGUACACAUGCAACUUGAUGAAUACUGCACGGCAUGAAGCAUUCGGAUGGGAAGCAGCGAAAAUGGUUCUCUCAAACAUGAAUUCAGAUGUGGAAGAGGUUCGUCAAUUUUAGUGGUUAAAAUUUUGAAAUCCGGAAAGAGUAGGAAUUAUAUCUGUACAAGUAGCAUUUACUAGAUAAUUUGACGGAGUACUUCAUAAAAAAUGAAUAAAUCUAUAUCUCUAGGGAUGCAAAAACACUACUACUUUUGUACAGGAAAGGUACAAAAACAGUUGCAUAACAAAAAGUUCAUGAUUAAUUGCUAGAUUACGUUGUAUCUUACAACCUAACCUCUUUGGCAGGAUGCUGUAGAAAAGAACAGGUAUGACAUAGAAAAGUUUGUAUGGUCGAAUCACAAACCAUGGAUUCCUAAGCCUUUGCUAAGCAUGCAUGUGAGAAUGGGCGAUAAAGCAUGUGAAAUGAAGGUGGUUGGAUUUCAGGAAUACAUGCAUCUAGCUGAAAGAAUCAAAAGGCGCUUCCCUCAUCUUAACAGCAUCUGGCUUUCCACAGAGAUGCAGGUACUGAAAAUCUUGAGCCUUCCAUGUCUCUUUGGAUUGUCAAUUUAAAGAAAGGGGACCGUGCAAGCUUUCUUUAUCAAUCAUUCUCAUAGCAAUAUUUACUCUCAGGAAGUCAUUGACAAAUCAAAAUCGUACCCUCAUUGGAGAUUCUACUACACAAACGUGACGCGACAAGAAGGGAACACUUUGAUGGCAACUUAUGAAGCCAGCCUUGGCAGGGAAACAAGCACCAACUAUCCCCUGGUUAAUUUUUUGAUGGCUUCUGAAGCUGACUUCUUCAUAGGAGCAUUAGGUUCCACAUGGUGCUUUCUCAUAGAUGGCAUGAGGAAUACAGGAGGAAAAGUCAUGUCAGGAUACUUGAGUGUGAACAAGGACAGAUACUGGUAGAAGCUUGUCAAGUUUUUCGCUGCUUCAGAAUAACUUGGAAUGAGCAACAAUUGGUGAGUAAGCACCGCAGCAUGGCACUUGGCAUUUCCCCUGCAUAAUCUGCUAAAAUCCAAGUGCAAUAUGAAAACCUGCUGCAGUGAUUGGGUGACAUGUAUUCCCAGGAUUGGAUUUCACUUGGCCAUUUACUGCUUCCGUUCUAUUGUGAUCGACAUACAAAUUUUGUGUAAUUGUAUUUUAGCAUCCUACUGUAAGUAUCAUGUACAUACAAGUUUUGCGUUAUUGUACAUUAUCAUGUAUAUUCACAUCUGCAUAUGACCCGAAGCACUUCUAAGUCAAAAAACCUCCAAAAAAAAAAAGUAAAUAUUUAUUUCUUUGAGCGUUUUUUUUUUUUUUAAUGACAAAUUGCUUUGUGCAGUGGCCUUUUUCUAUCUAUUGUUGUCUCCAUGUAAGAAAUUUCUUGAAAAAUUUAAGCAGGUCUAUAUAAAGAAUUGACAAACACAUCAGCCACGAAUCUGUCCACAUCUAGAAAGGAUGGAGCAAAAGAACAUAACGAAGUGAGAGCGAGCUUAGCUUGUGGAAUGACUAUUGGGACGUGCAGUCUCUGCUUCUUGGACCGCUUGAUUGCUGCAUAUGAUUAUUUCAAGGCCCUUCAUUUAUUUCCUGGCUUUCACGUAACAAAGCUGGUGUUUUUUUGGUACGAGUAUUUGGGAGAAGGGUACGCAGAAGUUUUGGGGGCAACUAUGAAAGCGAUUGUUAAUGUCGUUGGCGUGACUAGAAUGACUCCUCCAAUCAAGGAUUUACUUCCCCGCUUGACUCCAAUUUUGAAAAAUCAUCACGAGAAAGUCCAGGAGAGCUGCAUUGAUCUUCUUGGUCGAAUAGCUUGCUUAACUUAUGUACCAGGCGCUAAAUACAAGCUUUACUUGGAGCAGUAUCAGCCAGAUUUCAAUCACAUAAUAACUAAGGAAAUUUGCGCGAACAGCCUCCUGACUUCCUGGAGGUCAAGGGUUUAAUGCUUGCUUGCCUCCUACCGAACUUGUUACUUAAUUGUGGUUGUCAUCUUCGGGUGGCUUCCCUUCCCUUAAACUAGGUUAGGGUAGAUUAUACAACUGUUAAUCAUUGCGACCCAAAAAAAAAAAAAAAAAACUAAGGAAAUUUGGAAAUCUUGCCUGGCAAAGAUAUUUUUCUGGUUUCAAUCAAAAUCAAUGUCGAAUGGCAAUCAUGACUGCAAAUGAAAAUUGAUCUGAAAAACUAUUUAUGCCUUUCUGUUGGCACAUCACAUGUUUAUCAUCAUAAACCUUUUUUGAGUCCCCUUAGGUAUGCUUCGCCGCUGAUGAGCUUAGACUUUUGUCAUACCCGUAUCUCUCACCCAAACCAAAGAAUAAAAAUAAAAGCAUCUGGUCCUUUGGGGCAAAAGCAGUUGAAACUUAACCAGGCACAAACAUGAAAUGGCUGCAACUCAUGCUUUUGUUUCAUUUAUUUCCCCAGAAGUGUUUACUGGCAAUUGCGAUGCAAUGUAGCCACUGGUCCAACAAACGUAGACCUUCACAGAAAAUCAUGUAAAACGUAAAAACACAACAAAAUUAUCACAUGUUGAAAUUUAUAUCCAAAUCUCAAUCCCAACUACCCAUUUUGAAUGUGUUCAUCUCCCACCAUGAACUAAUCCCCACAAUCACAACCGUGAUUGUAGGAACCUCAAUUUUUUUAUUGAAAUGACAUAAUUGGACCCUUCGUUUCUGAUAGAGGUCAGAGUAGCUUUUGACUUUUCUGUAAAUAGCCAUGUCCACAGAUAACAGCAAAAGCUAAAAAAGAAUCCAUUUUUUCCUAAAGAAAAUCCUUCCGCUUGAGGUAGUUUCAACUAUCCAAAGAAUUAGGAUCUGAAACAAAACUUAAUAAUCACGGGUGUAGAUACACUUGAAGCAGUUUAGGAUUAUCAAAGGAAUAAGCAAUAGGAUUCUGAUUUUCACUUCAAACAACAAUACAACAGCUAAAGAACAUAUUACAACAAAGAAGCAAUCAUGUGCCACUCCCAGAAACUCUCCCCGCAUGGUCCGCAUGGAGAUGGCCGGGCUCUCAAGGACUGAGCCUUGCCUCCUUUGUUGUUGAGCAUCCUGAAACACCAGAGCAUUAGGACUGCUGUUUUCAUAUUUACUCAAAUAUCCUCACUUGAAUGACGUCCAGUCUCUGGAUUUCUGCUAGCAACGUGCUUUUUGUGUUUCUUGCUCUUUGCUUUCUUGGCUUUCAUUCGGCGUUUUUUCUCAUUAGCAUCAACCCAAGCAUAGUCAGGUGGUAUGUGGAAAGGGUCAAUCUCCUCCCGGAAGCUUCGGCUUUCACUGUCACUUGAUUGACCACCACGGCUACCUGUCAUCCAUGAAAUCCACGAGGAAGACACCUCAGACUUAGCAUCAUGGAAAUGCACAGGGCUGGAAGGAGGGGUGCAGAACUCCUCUGUUGGCUGAAGCUCCUCAAACUUCGUGAACGUAACAAGGACCCUGAUGGUUGGUACUAUUGGAAUGGCAACCUGCAGCAUGGAAUCUAUUAAUCACGGAGUGACAAUUAAACCAUUCAAGAUGGUAUGCUACAUAUACAAUGAACGAGAAAACAGCCGCAUCCAGGAUAGAUUUGUAAGAUCGUUUCAAAACCACACAAAUACUACUAAAUAUGGAGAAUGAAGCACCAAAAGAUUAGGCAAAUAAAAAUUGGCUAAAGAGGAAUCAAAAAUCAAUCCAUACGCUCUUUCAUAGAAAGAAACUAAACACAUAAUUACAACUUUGAUCCUAAAUGAAAUCAACACAAACUUCAAUACUGCAUCAACAAUUAUGUUCUGAAGCAUUAGAAAUUUCAUUUCAACAUAAUAAGAUGUAUUAAUUAUGAAAUGCUAGCUUAUAAGUGAUAUGAUGAAAUGCAAGUUUAUCCUGACAACUUCUGAUGCAAAUUCCUGAAACCAAUUUUCUAACUUCUUAGCUCCAGAAUAACAAAAUAACUGCCAACCAGAAGUUAAUUGUAUAGGAUAAUGCAUAGCUUCAGUUUCUACAAAUCAGGGAUACAUGAAAGCAACAUAAAACAGUCCUGCAGCCCCUGUACCCAACUAAACAUGCUUUUAGCUUCUAUAUUUGUUGCCUUCCACCGCAAUAGUUUGCCUCCUUAGGAAGCCUAAGAACUAAUAGACAUCGGAAAGCAUAAAAAUAUUAAUGGCAAUCCUAGUCCCUAGCAAAACCGUCUCGUCAAGACUCAUUAAGUGCCUGUUUGGUUUUGAAAAAGCUGUUCAAAACAUUGAAAAGAUGUCAUUUUUUCAAAAUAUUGUAAAGUCAAAAGCCGUUUUCAGAAGCAGCUCAAGGUCUCCUUAUCAGAUUCAGCUUUUAAGCUCAAAAUAAGCUAAUAGGCAAAAGCACAAAUUAAUGCAAAGGGAAAUCCUUCUAAAUGGCAUUCAGCAUUGAGAAAGCUAUGAUCAGCAAAUUUUAUGCUAAUAAACACGCCUUUAGACUAAGCUAAUGAUAAAAUCAUACAACUGAAUAACAUUCUUGAAUUCCCUUCUUUCAGGACGCCCAAAACUCAAUCCUUAGCUUUACAAGUUCAAAGAUCAUCAGAACCUUGCAGUACUAUUAUUUUCCUCUCAAGCGACUCUUAAGUUGUGAGUAUGUCAGCAUUCUUUCACUUCUACCGGAACUCUUUGGGGGAUUUUUUUUUUAUUUGGGGUGGGGGUGGGGUGUGGGGGAGUAGGCAACACCAGUAUGUAAUUAGGGGUAGGUGAUAAACAUCCCCCUGAAUAAAAAGACAGCUAGCUGAAGAUUCUUCCUAAUAAGCACCACCCAAACCUGCAACAGUGUCCAACAAUUUUUCUUGACAACACCACUCACAUUGAGUGAUAUAGCAGUAACUACUGAUUUAGGACAGCUUUGGAACAUAGAUCCCAACAACAGAAGUAACUUUACAAUCAUUUGGCAGGGCAAUGAAGAGGAUCCCUAAUGAGGGGAUCAACUUGUCAACAGUUGUGAUGAUCCAUCAAGCUUUUAUAAGAUAAGAACGUCAUUCUGUCAUGUUUAUAUUAUGGUUCUUCCCAACAUUUCCUUGUUUAUUUGCAUUUACUCCACAACCAAGCACAGGCACAGCUCACAAAAUUCUGAAAAUGUUAUCAAAAGAACCAUAUUUGCAACCAAAAAGUGUCAAUUCGGCAAGAUGAAGAAAUGAAUCUGUAAGAAAGACCAGAGUUUGCAAAUGGGACAUGAUAGUCCACAAUCAGACAAGACAAGAGCAUAUAUUUCUCAUUUUUAUCAGUCAUAUUUAUGCCUAACAGAUAGGACCUAGAGAGAUUGACCAUGCAUCUUUUAAACUCACUUUUGAAGAAUGAUUACAACAUUGCACGUGACAUGCAACCCACACACUCAUGUCUGCCAAAUCAGAAAGUUAUUUAGUGAAGAACUAAAACAAUUCAGCAGAUGUAUUUAUUUCACUACUCAACCAUGCAGCCAAAAAGAGUACUUUCCACUAGAUUCAAAGCCCUUUAGAAUUUGACUCCCACAUGCACUCAUCAAGGGAAAGAACAUGCAUGCAAAUUGAUAACUGGUCAUAUGUCAGAUUUACAUGCAACAAAAAGGUGAAUGUUAGGAAACAGGAAAUGCAUGAAGAAACAUACUUUGUUGAUGAAAGACAAAAAAAAAAAGGAAAAUAAUUCAAGCACAUAGGAACAAGAUGUUUGUAAGUGACAGCCAAAAGCCCUUCCAAAGAAAAGAAAUGGAAGCUAGUGUGCAAUUUAUAGCACAAUCACUACUAAUACCUUAGCAGGAAAUGUGCCAGUAGGUAAUUUAGUAGUCAAUAGCUCCCUCAAUCUUCUGAUUGCUUUCACCUUAUUGGCCAAUAUAUCCAACAGGGGCAAGAGUUCUUCUGUUUUCAAAGGGAAAUCUGGUGUCAACCACAGAACAGGCCUUAAACCUUUUUUGUAUUCGCUUUCAUUCUUAGACUCACUAGCAGCACCUUUCUUCUUCUUCUUUUUAUUGCUUUUAUCCUUGCUCUUCUUAAUUUCGCCAGCAUCCUCCCUUGGAAAUUCAGAUGUUGAUCUAUGACUCUCAUUGGGUCUCAGCUUGCUAUCUUCAGGAGCCAACUUCGAGAACUUCUUAACUAUCUUUGAAUCUUCAGGGUCAUCUCCGGUGUUCUUUCCGCCUUUCUUGUUCCAGCCAAACCAGCUUUUCUUUUCUUUGGUAACACCAUUGGGAUCACAAUUUUCAAAGGAACCACCAUCGCUGUUUUCAUGCAAAUCCUGAACUUCAGUUUCCUCUUCCUCACAAGGCCCCUCUGGAUUCCCCAUGCGAAGUGCAGAAUCUAAUUGCUUUCUUUCCUCAGCUGUUAAUACGUCAUCAUACUCAUCAUGUUCGCCACCAGUGGCGACCCUCUCAUCAUCAUUCACUGAGAAAAGCUCCUCAUCAGUCAUGGCUCCAGGAACUCUUCUUGACUUCACGCUGACCAUCACGUGUAGCAUAUCAUAGACCUUGGCUUUCCAGGGUCCAACCAUCUCGCUCCUCUCCUGUCGCCUCCAGUUCAAAUGGGGAACAAGCUCAGCUUGAGUAACAUCAAUUCCUGGCCUAUACAUGUUUGUUUGAGACAUCAAGGCCACUUCAUGCGCAACUUCAGCUUCUGUUGGUUGCACACCAGCUCCUUCCAAAGCAUUUGUAAUCUCCUUCUCCUUAUGAGCAAGCACAAUCAGUGAACCAGGAGGCAAAGAUAUUUUGCCAUCUUCUGAUGAAUAUCCCUCUCCCAGAAAAAGAAAAGUUUGAUCAGAGCGUUGAAUGCGAAAGCCAUCAAAUCCUGCAAGGGUCAUAUCAGCACGGAGAUUAGCACCCCGUUUCCAAAUCCUGUAAGUGUCUGAAGGGGCAAUUCUACCGAUAAAUGGUAUGACUGAGCUCUCAAAAUGAAAGGUUAUUUCCAUGUAAAAAUCCCUUAUCCUGCCUGCUGAAGCCACAAUCCUAGGAAGCCUACGGCACCAUUUUGCCCAAGCAAGAGGUUGGUAAUGUCUGGCAAUUAUCAUAGCAAUAUUCUCUUCCCUAGUACAAACAGCCUCUUGAAGCGCGCUCCACCCAUUCUCAUUUUGAAGACUCCAAUCAGCACCGGCCGCCAUCAAAAUCUCAGCAGAAAUGGGAUCCCUCAGCCUAACAGCGAGGUGCAAAGGGGUCUCACGCCCUGGAACAUCCCGCCUAUCUACAACAGCUGAGACUGCAUCGGCAUUAAGCUCAGCAGCCAAAGACUCGGCUUCAGUAUUUACCUCCCCCGCCUUCGCCAAGUGUGGAAGAGCCCCCACGAUCUUUCUUAGCCCAGCAUGGUCUCGUUUAGCGACAGCCAAAUGAGCAGGACUAUGGGCAUAUUUAGACCAAUCUUCCAUUGAUUUGGGUCCAACCACAAAUCUUUCCACUCCUCCCUAAUUCCAACUUCUUCAGAAAACCUAGAACAUCCCCAUGUUGCUACCAAAAUUCAGUCAGAAAAAAGAAGAAAGAAAAGAAAAAACCUCGAACAAGAACCUUGGAUUUAACGAAAAACCAAGACAACAGACAUUAUAGCUCAAGGGUUCGAAGCAUUAUUCCGGAUUAAAUUUAACCUAUUCACAUUAACUGCACUCCGACAUUGCCAGUUUUGGAAAUGAAUUCCGCGGCCUAAAAAACCCUGCAGCACCUGAUCCCAAUAACACCCUCACCCAGCUCAAAUCUGAACCUCGAAAACAAAGUAAAGCAAAACGAACAUGUCAUCAGCAUUAAAUUAAAAAGAAGGAAAGAAAGAAAGAAAUUCAACAAAAACGAAAAUCAACUAAACAUAUCGAUCUAGGUCCAGCUUAGCAACGACAUAUACUUAACCUAGGGAAACCUAGACGCAUAAACAUCCAUAUAAGCUAAAUUACAUCUGAACAUUAGAAACUGCAUAGAUAAAAGUUGAAUUUACCAACCUGAGGAAGUGGAAGGGACGGAGUUGGCUGUAGAGAGAGAAAGUGUAGGAUUUGAAGGAGGAGGAUUAAGCGAGUGAGUGAGUUUUUAUACUAGUCGAGACUCGAGAUCGAUCUCUCUGUUUUCUUUCUCUGCUAUCUCUUUCUCCCUCUCUCUCUCUGCAGCUCUUUUUAGCUCUCUCUCUCUCUACAGUGAGAGUGGGGAGGCUGGGAGGUUAACAACGGCCUCACCUGCUGCUCCUUUUAAUUUCACCCUUUCUUCUUUAUGCUUUAUCCUUUAUUUUAUUUUUCCUUUUCUUCUCAAAUAGCAAAAGAACAAAUAAUGAGACAUUUUUUUUGUGAUGUAAUAUAGUGUUUAAUAGUAUUGGAAAAAUAAAAAGUGAUUGUAAAAUAUGCUGAUGAUGUAAUAAAAAUUUGGUUUCCAAAAAACCAACUAUUUGAAAUUAGGAGGUGUUUGGUUGGCAUUCAAGAACCGGAAUUGCUAUGGAAUUAUUAAAUCCUAUUACGGGUAUAAAUUCUUUGUCAUUGCCAUUUACUAGUUUGGUUUAGAUUUGGAAUGAAUUUUAUUUCACUAAUGAAUUAAUAAAUUUGAAACCCAAAUCAUGACCGGAGAAUUAAUAUGAGAUGAAUUUUAACACUUUCAUCCCUGCUGACAUAUACUGAAUAAUAAGUUUGGGUGUCGUUAAUUUCAACACUCAUUAUUUACGAACACCAAACAUCUCCAAAUCUAAUUGAAAUUUAAACAGUUAGAGUUACAGCAUGUUGUCAUGUGUUUUUUUACGUACUUUAUUUUGUUGUUUACUUUUAAAAAAAAUUGUUUUAUUUUUGUUGUUCUCGAUUACUUUCCAAAUUUUACUUUUUUGCUCGUUUCAUCAGAGAAAAAGGACCUUGAAAAUCAAAACUAACAGAAGUUGUACUUUUAAUUUCUGAUGAUGAUUCCUGUAAUAAUCAGAACCAUUUAAAGCUUGCGAUUAUGUCCACAUCCAAAUUCUUCUUGCUUCUUAGUCUAUUUUACCAAGCACGAGAAUUCAGAAUUUUAUAUCAUAAAAAAUAGAAUUGAAGUGACUCUCUUCGUUUUGAGCUAGGUAAUAAAUGUCCAAGUGCCAAAAAUGCAACUUUCAAGUGCGUUAUGAAUUGGAAACGAAACUUCCAAAUGUAACGCUGUGCCAUUCAUUUUCCUGCCAUUUACAAUCCAAUCUCAUCCUCCGUAUCGUGUCUAAGUAACGGAAAUGGAAAUAAAGAGCAACGGAAAAUGGAGAGAUUUUGCCCCGCCUUGAUUUUGGCAGUAAAAAUUUUGCAGGCCCCCAAAUGCAAAUAAAAGAAAAGGGGCCGCCGCGUUUGGAGGGGCUGGAGGAGAUGAUGGUGACCCAGCGUGGCACGGUACACUCUUCUGAUGGAGCAGGCCCUGACCGGAUCUGGGCCAUCUGGGACACACUACUGUAUUUUGUGACAUCUUUUUUUUUUUUUUGGCUUUGGUUCUGUCGUUUUCUUUUGUGAACCUGUUACACGUAUCUCUUACCUUAAUAAUAUUCUUUAUAUGUUUCUUUGAAAGUGUCCAAAAUGAUCCUUUUGAAUUUUGCCUCUGAUGUGAGAAAGAAAGGGGGAACGAUAAUGCUAACCUUUCAUCCAAAAUGAAUGUUAUAGUACUAAUAGACUUUGGAUAGCGAUACAAAAUUUAAGGAAUGAUUGAAUUAUACCAUUUCCAUGUCAAUGUUUUGGAUUCUUCCGGUUCUCUUCUUUCUACAAAUGAAAAAUAAAAGUGAAAAUAAAAUCAUUUGAUGUAAUAUGUAAUUGCCCAUUUAUUUGUUUUAAGCUCAAAAAAGAAGGUGUGCUUGUAUAUUUAAAACUUUUUAAAACCGUGUUUUCUACAAAUAGUAGGAAGGCAAAUCUUAUACUAAGUGACAUACGAUUUAAAUGAUAUGUCGUAAUUUACUAUUACUACUCUCUUUGUACAUGUAACUCUUGUGUUUGUCUUCUUUAGGUUUUUCUCUUCUUCUUAUUAUUGGGACUAGCUAUUGAGACACGCUCGAUGCGUGUAUAACUUGUCAAAAAAUCUUUUUAAUUGAAAGAAUUACAUAAAUAUUACGCUUAAUAACCAAAUUUCUACACACACGGACACUUUCCUCUGUAUUCAACAAAGCAAUUUAUGUACUUUUUCUGGCACCAAACUCUUUUUCCAAAUUUUUUUUUAAAAAAAGAUAAACAGUCUAAGAUAAGUUCACGAAGAAACUAAAUGGAAAUUUUGCAAGUGCUAAUACUUUUUCCUAGACGAUUACUCUUACCAUUUAUGUAAUGCCAAAUUUCGAGUGUUGUAUAGAAAACAAUAGGCUUCAGAUGCUUCUCGGAGAUAUGAAAAUUUGACCUUUUUUCUUUAGAAAAGCAUGCCGUCACCGGAGAUUCAAGUGUUGCUUGCGGGUCCUUCUCCAACUGCAGAGUAAUCAUGUUUAAGUAGCUAUCCCCAGGUGAUGCAUGCAAGGUUGAUAUACUGCACUUUACUCACAUAUAGUGUAGGAUCGGAAUGAAGUCCAUCAUUUCCGGAUUUUGGUGGAUCUACCAUGUGAUAAUUAAUGCAUCUCUUGUGCUGCAAUUUUCCAAUUAAUCGAUAACCACCUAAGCUUAGCACUCGUAGCAGGUAUACCAGAUGUUGAGAUGCCUUGAAUUAGAUCUUCAACCCUCGCUGAGCUGUACGGGGUCUCGCUGAGCUUACGGUAUAUAUUUUACCGUGUCUGUUUUAUUUUGGAUCUUGUUUUGGCCUAUUUUGGGUCCAGUCUGUUUGGUUGUAUAUAUAUAACCUUAUUUUAGUCUGUAAACCAUUCCGAUUACAACCCUAAUAAAAUUUGGUUUCCUCCAAGUUGUUCUUGUCUUUUCUUGUUUUUCUUCUUUCUGUCCGCUGCAUCUGUUAUAACACCAGAUUAUGCUGCAAAGUUCUAAGAAAAAAAAAAUGAUUAUACAUACUAUUGAAUUCAUGAUACGUUAGUUAUUACUACCAUUAAUAUAAAUAUCUUUAUUUAUUGGACACUCAUUAACACACCUAUAUUUCACCAACCUAUCAUGUAUAUAUAUACUACUUUUUCUUGCAUUUAUAUAUUUUUUCUAAUUAAUCCCCUUGGCAUUUAUAUAUUUUUCCUAAUUAGUCUUGUAUUUUUAAAAAUAUAAUAUUUGAAAUAUAUUUUAACGAGUACCCGUAAGGACCUAUUAAAUAAACCAUUAUUUAUUAGGAUGCAACGCAUGAACGUUAAUCACUCUAUUAUAUAUCCCGUAUAGAUUACUAUUAUUUGAAAUUUUUUUAAAAAAAUAUACUGUAACGAUUUAAUGCAUGUUAGGUGCAAAAAUAAAGAAAAAAAUAAAUUCACAAAAAAUCUAAAAAUAUUUUGAGAAAAAAUGAUAAUCCAAACAAGGUCGUCGAUCAUAGAACACAUACAUAUUGAAUCAUAUUGAUAGCCAGAAACUUCAACCAUCCUUUAUUUCUGAUUAUCUUUUCCACCAUUUGUUGUCCCCAAACUCAUGCGUGUGGCUUUCUCGUCAUGCCUCCAAAUUGGAACAACAGAUCGAGUGGAAAUUAUUAUGCUUCCCAGUAGGCGUAGGCGUAGCUAACAGAGACUAUUUCCGAUGAGUAAGACUAAGAUCCCAUCUGUACGAAAGGGCAGACAAUGAGUUACAUGAAAUAUUGAGUCGGGAUUUUGCCACUAAUACGACAAAAAAUACACAGACAAACAUUUCUAGUAGGAGUAGACUACGUAUUUCUUACGCAAUCUUCAAAGAGAGAACUUUUCAUAUAACUGAAAAAGGGUUAAUAAAACAAGAAGAAGAAGAAGAAGAAGAAGAAUAAAACUAUGCACCAUCCAUCAAAAUGCUUUACCGUGAACAGUAUUGCCAAAGCAGUCGCCUUGGCUUGAAGAUAACUUAUUCGUAUUCAAUUUAGUUAGUAAGUCCUUCUGGGUCAGGAUUCAGGCCCAUCUGUAAAAUAGCGGUGCUUUAUUUUAUUUUGUGGUGGCUCACCACUUAUCAACCACCACUGCAUUGUUUUUGUGCCUGACAAAGCUUGUUGGACACUUGCUUCUUCAGAGUAAGAUACAUGCAAAGCUUCAAGCAGGAUACCCUUGUGGGCAUGGUCUCAAAGUUGCAAUUCUUGCUGUUGUGUCACCAUAGCCUUUGGCGAUGCCAUUAAAAUUUUUGGCCCCAGUUCUCUCAUUCACAGCACUAGUUACAUUCAUAAGCACUAACCAAUACUUCAAAAAAAAAAAAAAAAAAACCAAAACACUGGGUUACUUUUUCACUUCUCUCAGUCAUCUCUGUAGCCGCCAAAGGCAAAACAAAAUGGGGGAAGUUGCUGCUUUAUGAUAUCUAAAGGUCUUUGAUCAUAGAUGAUAGAACACAAGUGCUUUAAAUUUCCAGGGAGUCUUGAAUAUGGUGCGUACCACGUAUUUGCGUCUGCAAGUGUCCAACCAUGUAGCUGUACUUGCUGUAUUGCUGGCAUGAAUUUAAGGAAGCCUUUGCUUCCCAUAACUAAUGUACGGAUGCGAUGUCGUGUUUCUUUAACUGAGCGAGUUUCAGUACAUAACCUACCCCACCACUCUUAAGAUUUGAGCUUCCAGCCUCCCUCGUCCUGCAGAACAACCUUCCCCACCUCUCUACGGCUUAUUGAGGAGAGCAGAGCGAGAUGUGAUGCGAGAUUUUACAUUGCAAGUAUGCUGCGAAUAAGAAAUGGGAAACGAUCAGAGAAUAAGAGAAUAAACAAAAUACUAACAAUUUCUCCACAAGCCGCCUGGGGACUCGAAAUGAUUUAUACAUAAAAAAUCGUGUAAAAAGAUUCUAUAAUAAAUUUACAACACCGCGUUGCCCAUUUUCCCUAAUUGCGGAUUGAAAAAACUACCGAAUCCGUCCCCUAUACAAUUAAAGCUACAAUUUUCUAGCAAGAACUUCACAACUGAGUAAACCAUCCACGGAAUUUGCAGACCUCCCAGCACCCAAGACUGGAACAAGGUUGAAUAUGGGGUCGUGGCGGUCUUUCUUUUUGGGUUUUGCUCAGCGAAUUCACUGAAUACCCUGGUAAAAAUUAAUAACAAUUCUGCAUGAGAGAUGUGAAGCCUUGUUGCAAAAUAGAGCCUGAAAGUCUGCAGAAAGAAACGGAUGGUUAGACAAUCUGCAAUUUGACGCCGUAUGCAGAAAAUCACGGUAAGAUGCAAGUGAUUAGUGCCAAUCCAAGGAAAAUCCCUAAAUUGAAGAUUGUUACUUUGUUAAUGCAAAAGUAUCUUACCGUGACAUCAUCCCAAGAGAAACGGUUCUCUAAUAGAAACGCAUCCAGAAGAUAAACACAAAAUUUUGCUAUUCCCUCAAUCUGGUUCUCAACAAGGGUAUUACAGCCUGCACAUCUUGAAGAAGGAACUUGGAACAGAUCUUUCCCACAAUAUCUUGUGUCACGGAUAAGACGGCAGCACAAAGUCUCCCAGGCACAACACAUUUCUGCAGGCAUUCAUCAUGCCAGUUUUCAUGCUGGAAACCACAAUAAUCUUGUGCCACAUAACUAACUUCACCAGCCUUGUUAUUAAGAGUUCCUUUAUUGCCCAGCACAUAAAGCACAGGCUUUACUUCUACAAGAGCCCUGCAUAGAAGAAAUAAUGCCUUUCUUAGGAUAAAAAAUUGUGUAUGUUGGCUGAAGCAAUUGUCAGAAGGAGAUAUAGCUAUUAAUUAGGAAAGCUUUCAUUAGAUGCCACGGCCAAGUCAUCUGCGAACUUUAGAUUCAUUUCUUGAUGCAAAUAUUCACUUGUAACAUACCUAAUUCAAUGGAUAGAUGUCAUUCUUAUUAAUGGACAGAAACAGUCGAACAAGCAACAGAAAGAGACUGCAUUGUAGUGUGUUUCAUUUACUUUUAUUGUUCUCUCCUUUCGUGAUACGAAGUACCGAUAUGUGCAUCAUUAUUGUCAUAUCUAUACAUAAUUUUAUCCCAUUCCCCUCCUCAACCCUUCUCAACAGAUUAAAAUACCCCUACAUCCCCUCUCAGCUAUUAAAAACAUCUGCUACCAACUAAUAAAAACAUGCAAAGAAAAGUUGUCUCCAAUACUCAACAAGCUUUGUAGUAAUUAUAAAGGGAAGGAAAAUAAAUAGCACCUUUUUGGCAGAUCUGGAACCAGAACAUAUAAAAAAAUAGGAUCAAGCACGUCAGAUGAGCAUCGAUUGUCGAAUCAUUUAACUUCAUUUCCUUAAUAAAUAAGUUUGUCUUCUCAAGGGCAAUUCGGUCAGAUUCAUUCAUUGAAGCUGAGCAGUAUAUGACAAAUAGAAUAGCGGAUGUAGCUAUUGAACAGUUAAAGCAUUUUGCUAUUGCUUCACUAUUUUCCAAUGCUUGCUUGAGCUCAACUGUAGGACCUCCACUAGAAAGCAGCAUCGUUGGUGGGUCAAGACCCAAUUGACCUGCCAUGUAGAGAAUAUCCUUGUGCAGCGUUGCCUGGCAAAGGGGAAAAUGUACGCUUGUCACUUCAUGGCUUAAGUUAAGCAUUAUUAAAGCCAACUGGUUAUGCAAUCUAAAUUUGCAUGCUGACAUAAUUAAACUCCACUCUCUAACAUGACGCUGUAACUGGACAUAAACACUAAACUGAAUUCAGCACAUGAACUUUAGUGUAACUUAGCAGACAACUUCUCAAUGACAUAAAAUCGCUAUAAGACACAUCAAAACCAGUAAAUUCAUAGGUCAAAUUGUUCAAUAUGAUUAAAAUCAUAAGCCAAUUGAACUUUCUAAUUAUUAAUGCUUUGACCAGACAUACUCUAUACGAUUGACAUAAUGCAUUGCCUAUGCUAUUGUAAACUGAAGUUACUAAACAACUGCAUUUUUUUUUAAUAAGGUAGUUUAAUCUAUUAUUCGAAGCAUACAGCACUAGAAGCCUAAAUAAAUACAGGAUUUCUUAGUACAAGCUCUCAUACAUAUUCUUCUCAUUCUGCAUAUGGUACUGAGAAAAGUCUAACAAAAAAGAAUUGAUUAGUAGGCAAAAGGUGGGCUCAAACAGAACAGAACCAAGCACCCAAAUCCGAAGUACUACAAAGUGCCAAUUUUAUAUACUUAAAGGAGAAAGCAGAAAAUGUGACAACCAAGGUAAUUGAAAAGAAAAGAUUAGUUUUAUGACCUGACUAUAAGGACCAAUGCAACUAGGAGCCCAGUCAGAUAUACUCUGCACGUGCAAAACUCUUUUAGUUUCAUCAUUGGCAACCAACACUUCAAUAUAUGCCAUCCCUAAACCAACUUGUGAUAGAGGAAGCUCAACUGUGGAGCGUGAUGGUACGCCAAAACGGCACUUAUCUUGAGUAAUGAAUCUGAUGUAUGUUUCAUUUGCAACUGCAAAUUUAUUCAUAUCAGCAAUGUAAAGAUGAAUAUAAAAUACAUUCUCCCAGGAGUAACAACAUUCAGCAAGUUGCAAUUCGAUUUUCAUGAGAACAUACUCCAAAUCUGCCUGCAGAUCUGUCAAAUUUAAAUUUAAAAAGAAGUAUUAGACAUGUAAAACUGUUUUGAUGCAAUUCUUAAGCUUAUACUGUAAAUACAUCUACUAACCUCCUGAAGUUUUAGAUGAAUCUUGCAACCAGCAUGAGAUAGAAAAAGUAUUAUCCAUUUUGGUUCUUGAAAUCUGGAGUUCCUGACUAUUAACAUCUACAAAUUUGCUGGCAGGAUGAUUAGACAUACUAAUGUUUUCACAUCUUUGUUGACAAUCUCCUUGGACUUCACAUACCAAAUCAAAUUCAUCAUCGUUUUUGUUACUUUUGCCCAAGGGCACAGUUUCUGCUCUUUUCUCCAAGUGGAAUGCCAAAGGAUGAAGGAUGCCAACGGGACAUAUGGGAUCUUUUGAAUGCAAGACAAUUUGAAAUUCAUCUAGCACAAUGCGGGCAUUCUGAAAAAAGUUCAUUGCAUCAAACGACAUUUUAUGUCUCCCCCCCCCCCCCCCAACAAAACAAACAAUAAACCACAAAAAUGGGUGGGGCGAGACAAAGAAACUAAAGCUGUACAGAACAAACUUGGUAAAAGCAUUUGGUAAAUUAUACUGAACAACUUAGUGGGUAUAAACUAGAUGUUCCAGAGAUCAGUAUCAAAGAACUUACGACUCCGUAAGUAAUGAGAGAAGUAUACAGUAAGAUAGGACAGCAGUAAAGACAUGUUCGAAAAGAAGAGUGUCCACUCACUUUAAAGAGGGGACAAUCAAGAGUUAAUGUUUCAUAUUCUCCUCCUUCACACAACAUUAAGUCCAUAUAGCCUGCCAGAUUUGUUGGUAAAAAACUUGGUAUCCCCUGUAUCUCAAGUACAAUAAAUAAAAAUUUUCUCAUAAUUAACCCGACAUACUCUUUCAGCUUAUGAAGAUGUGGUUCCAACCAUGAUAUUUCUUUCCCCAAGUGUUUUGAAGGAUCCAAACCCAUGGCUGCAACCUGAAAAAUCAAGAGGUCAGGUUACAGUGAAUCAUAGCAGAAACGCUUGCACAGGGACCUGUGCCAAUUUUACAAAAAUUAAAUGUAUAAAUUAUUCGUUUCUGAUAAGUAAAAGCUACAAUGAUUCAAUUUCACCUCAAGAAAACCGUAAAUUUAUGUAAAUGUGUCCUAUAUAUAUAUAUAUAUAUAUAUAUUAUCGCAUCUAAAGGCACAUACUUUCUUGUGCACUUUACUUCCAUCCACCAUUUGUUUCUUCGAAAUUGAUGCAGAAGACAAUAAAAAGUGUAUGCAGAAAAGUCAAAUAGUAAUAUAGAAUAGAAAUACAUCAAUGCACCUACUAUACCUUUACUGUGAUGGCAACAAUUCCAGCUUUAAUCUGGGGGACACAUACAAAAUUUUUAGAGUUGAUAACUAGAAAUACAAAAAUCUGUCUUUAAUAUAGAUAAAAUCAUAUUACCAUGUCUCCAAGGAGUAAUGACUGGUCUUGCUUCCAUAAAUAUGCCAAAGAAACAAGUCCUAACCUUGAACACACUUUCGACCGCGCAGUCUUUGAUAAUCAGAUGCAAUUGCACCAGAAGACACAGCAGCAACAGAGGGUAUCUGUUGUUUCACUUCAUUUAACAAGAUGAACAUAUCCUCAACCUCAUCCCAGGUGUGGUACUGUAGGUGAGGCCAUGGUGCCUGAAAUCCAACAUUCAAUUAGAAAAAAGAGAUUAUAUUCCAAGGCAUCAAUGUUUUACAUGACUCCCAAUUAAAAUGAUCAAUCUCCAAUUUCUUCACCAAUAGCAAAAUGAUCACACUCGAAAAUAUUUUGACAUAGUAAGAAAAACUAAGGUACUAAUACAAAAAAAAAAAAAAAAUAACCAACUGUGAACGUAAUAAAGAUUGAUAACUUUAGAAUUAAUGUAAUCCUAAAAGGAUUGUAUAUUCCUCAAACAUGAUAUUGCUUAUACCCAAAAAGAAAUUUCCAUUUAAGCGGCUUGCCUUGUGGAUCCUUGUAUUCGCCUUCUAAAUAAUGGAAGACCCAUGCAUUUUGCAUAGCUAACGACUAUCUGGUGCCCAACCUGCAAAUUAAAUCUGGAAAAUGAAUUCUAAUAUCUAUUGUUUAAUAUGUCAUGAUGAAGAAAAUAAUUAAAUAUCAAGAGAUCUACUACUUGAUUGUAUCAAUCAGUUUUCUAAGGAAAAUCUUUUCCUUUUGAUCACAUUUUAUAAAUUAGUGAUAAAACCAUCCUCAUCUCAAAUCCCACUCUGUCUCCACCCCUACCCAGAAAGAGGAAAACAAAAGGAGGAAACUCAAUGCAUAGUGUAAUGGUCAAUGUGGAACAAAAAACCAAUCCCAAAAAUAAAAUAAAAUAAAUAACUAGCGAAACUGCACAAUAAUAUUUAGUUACCACUCAUAGAGCAAAACUUUUAAAAGUCAUCAAUGACUUCAUCUUUUUGUUUUUAAAAAAAAUGCACUCUCAUUAUUUUUAGAGUAAAUUUUAUAUAUAUUGACAAUAUACAUUGUCACCGUUGGAUUCAUGAUAUAUGUGCAAAAGUUAAAUUUUAAAUUCAAAUUUUACAUAUUUGUCAUUCAUUCAACGUUAACAUUGUAUACAUUGUCAGUAUAAGAAAAAUUAAUCCUUAUUUUUAAUAUACACAUACUUCUCACUAAUUUAAUCAUGGUCACCUUAAACCUAUGUGGAUAUGUUUAAACAAACUUUUGUUUUUCUUCCUCUUACUCUUCCUAUUCAUUUAUCCCUUUUAACCUUAAUUUCUAUUGAUCUUUUCUAUUCUUUUUUUUCAAUUAGUUUUGUCUACCUAGUAGUUCAUGUCAAUGUGCAUAUAUCUCAAAGUCAUCCAUUGCCUUGACCGAUGGAACUUAAUCUAUAAAGAUUUUUUUAGUAGUUGCACACCUAUAUUACACUUAAAUUUUCAUGUGAAUGUACAUAUUAGUAAUAUUUACUAUGUUCCUCUAUUUAGACACUAUUUAAAUUAAUUAUAUUAAAAAAAAUAAAUACUCUUAACAAGUUGCCAUUGGGUCCCACUUAGCCAAUCCCAUUUUAAAAUCACAGUGGUUUUGAAACAAUAAUAUUAAACUUGAAAAAAAAAAGUUUAUCAAGACAUACAUUGUGCAAAGGAAAAUAGUGAAAUAUUAGACCAUUGCAUGUAAUAAGUUUUUUUUUUAUUUGUAAAUGAGAGGUCUUGGGUGUACUUACAAUUCCUGAUGAGAUUUACAAAUUAUACUCUCUUUUAUUAUUAUUAUUAUUCCUAUAUUUUUCUAAAAUUGGUAGUUGAAAUGGCUUAAUCAAGUGAUCUUGAGUUUCCAAACAUGAAUGCGGCCUGCAACACCAGAUGCAGCCGUGCAAUCAUGGAUCAUGAGUGGGCUCUGGGCUGGGCGUGCUGGAGAUCAAAAUUUCACCAAAUACAUCAAAUAAAUCAUCAAUUAAGAUGGCGGGUGGCACAACCACUGGCCUUUGGCUCAGUGGACACUAAAAAAUUCAGACAGAUGUACUGUGCAUUCGUCUGGUCCGGUGAUGAUUCAGAUCAUUCCGAUUUAUUUCUGAACCUCCUUAGAUCCAUUCCCUUCUUUUUAAUGUAGGAUAUAUUAGGUCACUAGAUUAGGUUUAUCGUCUUCGAGAAGAAAAAAAAAAAAAAAAAAAAAAGGAUGGCGGUGGCACGAAGAGACCUUUCACGCCGAGAAAUAACCAAUUAUUAUUAGAGGUAUCUUCGAGUCUCAGCCUCAUUAUGGAAAAGUAAAAGUCCUCAGAAUUAUUCAAUUCCAGUGAGUGAAUGCAUGCAUCAUUAUGCCACAUAAAGACGAACAACCAGAGGUGCUUACGAUUGUUUGUCAGUAGACGGUGUCAAGUUUUAGUAUAUUUUCCAUGUAUUCUUUAUCAUGAUUCUACAAGUACAUGGAAUUAGCUUGUUCAACAUCAAGGGUUACUAUUUUCGUUAGUAUUUAAUUAACGUAGAUAGAUUUAUGCUUCCUGGAACAGAUGCUUGGCUUGGGGAAAAUUCAUGAAGAAAAGUUUCAUGCACUAAUGUGGCAAACUAAGAGCUGAGAAGGUAAUGAGACAUAAAUAUAUAUAUAUAUAUAUAGUAAUGAGGCUCUUCAUUUUUUGAUUUUUAUUUUCAUGGACAACGUGUAGAAUCGUUAUUAAUUUAGGAUGCUUGAUAAAACUGAAUUCUGAAAAUUCAAAUUUGAAUUCGCUCUGAAUCUGAUACAUUUGAAUGUAUACCACAUUAUAAGUAAAUAGCUUAUCGCUUAUACGUGGACCAAGUUUUAUCUAAAAAAAUUUAUAAUAAAUUCAGAUGUCCUUUUUUUUUUGUUAUCAAAUAUAUCUAAAUAUACAUGUUAAACUAAAGUGCUGAAUUGGAUCAUCAAACAGAGUUUUAGUCUACGUACAUGAUUUGUGGCUCUAUUCAUACAUUCUAGUGGUCUUGCAACUGGUUAAAAAAAAAUAACAAGUAAAAAAAAUAUCCAAGCCUCGUUUAUACCACAUGAUUUUUUGUUAGUCUUGUUGAGAGUAAAAGCGUGAGAUAUUGAUAUCGUCAAAUCUUCGCCAAUAAGUACAACCCCUUGGUCGUUGAACACACGUUUGUUUGUGAUUUUACAUAUUCAUUAACAGCUAACUCGGGUUCUCAUUUUAUCAAAAGGCAAAAGAUAUAUAUAUAUAAAGAAAAUUUUAAUAGAAUGUCUUUUUGGCGGAAUGUAUGAUAAUCUUUUUGAGGAGGAAAAGAAACUUGUCGAAUCCAGGGGCGCUGGUACUCAUAAAUUAAACUCAAGGAUAAAGCUCCUUUAUCACAACAAACACGCUCCUCUCAUUCCCAGCCUUCCUUUUUGUAAUUUUUAGAUUCAUUACUUGAGCGAGUAGGGUACAAAACUUAUCUUAAUUUUUUCUUUCCAGUCAAUAUUCCUUUCCUUUUAAAAUUAAAAUAAGAUAAUUCUGGUUUAAUACUUCUAAAUCCACAAUUUCAAAACCCCAAAAAAAAAAAAUAGUGCUAUAAUCCUAGCUGGCUCCAAUGAAAUCAUGAAUUUCAUCCCUCAUCAAAAGACAAACUGUUUGUCUAACGGAUACUUGUUAAGAUAUAUUUCACGUGUUAUAUAUAUAUAUUUUUUAAAUAUAAGAUUAAUUAAAAAAUUUAAAAAUAUAUAAGGAAUAGUAGACAAGAUUAAAUAGGAAAAAUAUAUAAAUGCAAGAGAGAAUAAUAAUUGUUAGUAUCUAUAUAUAUAUAUAUAUAUGAUAUAUUAGGUAAAUAUUAAAUGUAUUACCAAGUGCUCUAAAGGCACCCAUUAAUAAAGAACCCAAAAACAAAAUCUGUAUACAAUAAAGAGUAAAUCUUAUAUAUAUACUGACAGUGCGUAUAGUAUUACCGUUAGAUCAAUGACAUAUAUGUAAAAAUUAAAUUUUAAAUUCAAAGACACCAGAGAAUCCUUUUUUUUUCCAGAUUGAUUUAAAUUUUUUUUUUUUUAGGUGUAGGGUCGGUGGAUUUGGCCUUUUUGGUUGUGAAAGUAGCAGGCGAGAAUCAGUACAAAGAGGAGAAAUUUUACAGUUACAUGUACACAACGCAAAAGAUUAUAAAAGAAGCCCAAUCGGAAUAGAUUUAGUCACCAGCCUAUAAUGGAAUAGAUUUUGAAGCAUGCUUGCAUCUUUUUUCCUUUUUUAAUUGUUUGUAUUUUGGACAUAGUUUUGUCAGAGUUGUCAGAAUUGAAGGAAAGAUUGUAAGGGUAUAUUUGCUCGGACAAAAGUCCAGAAGGUAUUUACACUAUUGCAGGCUAAACCCCAAAAAAUUUCAAGGCACUAAAUCCUGAAAGCAAGGAAGAAACUUCGAAAGGACAAAUUUGUACGAUAAAUCUUAGAAGCCUGCUUUAGCAAAUUACUUGGGCAUUUACCAGGAAUUAAUAGCAGCAAAUGAAACCAAACAUCCAAAAAGCAUUCCUCUCAAACAAAAGCCAACAAAAACAACAAAGCAGCCAAAAAAAUAAUACUAAUAAUAACUCGUGGGAAAAGUGAAGAGUUCUAUAAAUUUGACCAGAAUUUUUCUUCUUGGCUGGACAUGAAGAAGCUUGCAACCACUAUUAGACAUUUUGAUCUCAUACCCUCAAGGUUAUAUCAAUGGCAAAUAUUGCCUGUUAAAUGUCACAUCAGAUUUCUCCCAAAAAAAAAAAAAAAGAUCCAAGAUGACGGUUUUGAAAUAAGUCGUUCAUAUUAGUACUUGAUUUACUUAAACAACUCGUAUUCUUCACAUUGUAUUUGGAAUUUUAGCCUCGUUUGGAUUGCAUUUUCUUGAAUUUUUUAUAAAAAAAUUAUUAUAGUGAUUUGAUGUAUGUAAGGAGAAAAGGUAAUAGGGAAUCGUGAUCACGGAAAGCGACGCAAUUUUUCAAUAAAAAUGGCUGUCCAACCGGGGCAAAUUUUCAAAUCUUCAAUCAGUACUUGAUUUACUGAAUUCGAUUAUUGCCACAAUUUCUAAGUGGAUUUGGAUAGUAAAUUAUUUGAGAUAAUUUUUUGAAAAGAAUACUGUAGCACAUAUUUUGAUGUAAUGUAUGCAAGAUUAAAAAAAAUUGUUAGAAAAUGUAUUAAUAAGACAAAGAAAUAAAUUUUAGUAUAUAAUUCACUGUCCAAUACAUUUCUGUAUUUAUUAUUGCACGAACAUUGAAACAUCUAUUAGUGAGUACAGAAUUACUUGAAACUUUUUUAUCACAGCAAAGAAUUUCCCUCUUUUCUUUUUAGUAUUUUUUUUUUGAAAAAAUAUCCUGGGCCGCACUAUUAUUGUACGGCUUACCCCACAUAAAAUGGAAAAUGAAAAGGAAAUAAAAGCGCUCCUCCAAGGCUCCAACUCCUCCUGUUCCGCCCGACAACGCGGCAUCGAAAUUUUAAAACUUUUUCUUUGGUCCAAAACACCCUUCACAUUUGGCCAAAUUCUUUAAUCUCAGUACUACUAUCGUCAAGCCACUGGAGCGACAACCAUAACGCCAAUCAGGAAAACGGCUUCGGAAUUUCCCUUGGUUUGCUCCGCCCCUCAACGGAAUAAAGCUUUUGCGUCUUAUACUUCUCCAAAUUUCUACUACCCAAAAAAGUGGAAAUUUCUUUUAAUUCUGAUUCGCCGGCCACAUUACUCUGUCAACUCUUUGAUUCAGUAAUAAUUCUUUCUUUCUUGCUUCCUUCUAUAAAUACUCGUUACUUUCUGGUCGUUCAUCUGUUCUUUUUGGUGGGUUUUGUUCUUUAUUAUCUGGGUUACUUGAUUAUUUUUCUUCUUUUUGACAUUUGAGGAUGCGAUUGGUUUUGGCAAUCAAUUGAAGUCUGAGCGGGACUCAUAUUUAGUUUAAAAUUUUGAACCGAAUUCUCUUGAGAAGAUUGUUGAUGCUUUUUUGGGAGAAAAGCAAAUUAUUUGAAGUGUUGCUGUGCUGGCCUUUCUGGGUUUUCCAUUUUAGGAGUUUUCUAUUAGUAUAGCCCGAGAAUUGGGCUCUUUAACGGUCAUUUUCAUUGAGAUAUUGUUUACUGGAAGUGUAAGUAGAAAAUGAGAGCAGAAUGUGAUUUUUUGUUUCUUUAAAUCUUCAAUGUAUUUCUACUUCUUGUUGCAUUCACAGUGCAUAAAGUUAGAAUGUUUGAGACGAGGAGAGAUUGAAUUGUUUUCUUUUUCCGCAUUUUUAUAAUUCUUGCCUUCUUGAAAACCGUAAGUUUCUAGUAACGGAAAUUUUUUGAUGGGUUUUUCUUCCUGAUUUUUUUAAAAUUCUGACGGUAAUAAUUGACAUUCGCAUUUUCUUUUUAGCUAGGGCAUUUUUUUUUUAGAAAAAAGGUUUAAUGGUGAUUAGGACCCUUGACAGGGUGAUAUGUAUAAAGGGUUUGAAGAAAGAGAGUGGGGUUAGUGUGGUCUUUUAAACAAGAAGCUAAGCUCCAUUGCAAUCAGUGCUUCUGACACUCAUGUUUAUCUAAUUAUGAAUCAGAAAGCACAUUGAUUGAUUCUCUUUUGGGGGUUCUCAUGAUUUCUGCUCUAGGUAAAGAGGGUUAUCAAAAUGAAUGCCAUAAUUUCAUUACUUUUCUGAAGCCAAUGGUGGGAAUUAUAUAAACCAAAUGUUCUUGUAUUACAUUUCCGUGUUCCACGGAUCACUUUUUUCUUUUCCCCCCUUCAUUUUUUUAAAUAGUCAAUGUUUGUUAGCAUAAUCCCUAGCAGUUUUCUACUUGAUUUGUGAUUCUGAUGCUGCCUUUUGCUUUCCUCUAUGAAUUUCUCACUAUUGGUAAUCUCUAUGUUUGAAUAGGGUAUCUGAUACUUCAAAAGUUUCUAUGUGGGAGUUCUGAAAGUAGAGAUAAAUUGAGGGCACAGAGAUGAAGAAACUCUUCUUUUUCAGAUCAUCUUCAUCUAAUGGUGGUACUAAUCAAGUUUCACCAAAAUCAGCUCAUAAGCAAGUCUAUUGGGAUAAACAAGCAGAUGGGAAUGACAAAUCCAGGAAAAAAAAGCAAACCACUGAAAACUGUGCUGCUAGUAGGACACCAUUUCUUAGAAGAAGCCGUUCAUCAUCAUCUGCAGCCAUCUUUGAUGGUGGGGCUAUCCGAAGUACUGGAAUUGAUCAAAUAGGGUCUCCAUGUAGUACUAGUAAUGGGUCAGUCGAGCAAUUUGGUCGCCAUUCAUCUCGGUAGGCGCUGAAUUAUAAAAUUGUCUUUUGAUGUUGCCAUCUGUUGGCAUACUAUUUAUUCUGUUAAUAUGAAAAUAUGGUAUUUGACAAUAGCUUAUCCCUUUUGUAGUCGCACUCUGACUCCUGAGAGGCAACAUCGGACAAAGUUCUUUGAAAGUGGCACUGUUCAAAAUGGACACAGAGUCGAGAAGCGUGGUUGUGUUCCUUCUUCUGGGCUGCAAUAUGAUUCAUCAGAAUGUUCCUCUUACAGUUCGAGUAAUGUUUCAAAUGGAGUAUUGGACCGUUAUAUUGAUGGGGAAGAACAGCUGGAACAGAGCUCAUUGCAGGGUAAGUUUUCCAUGAGAAAUCAUAUUGAAAAUGUAAAUGACUUGAGAAAGCAAGCCACAGUAGUUCAGCAUCAUGCCUCUGUUUCUCCAACCAAUGAUAGGACACGAAAACCUAAAUCUCAAUCUUUUAGAGAAAUUGAUGUAGCACAGCUUCAUCUUUCAUCAAGGGAUUGGGUGGAGAAUGGCUUUGGCAAUGAAUCUCCUAGGAAACUGGCUAAACAUGUGGUUGAGAGACUUUCCCAGGCAAAGUUUUUUCCCAGGAAAAGUUCAAAAGAAUUAGAUUCUGACGUUCCAAUCACAGUUGAAGACAUCUAUAGUGGAUCCUUAACUAGAAGUCCUAGUGGAGAUUCUGAUGGAGUUCCUCCAAAAACUUGUACACUCAAUGAUGUUAAUGGAGCUUCUGAUGGAUAUGCUUGUGAAGAAACCUCAGGUUUUACCGGUAGAAAAUGCUUCUUUGCUGACAGCUGUGAAUUCUCAAAUAACAUUGUGUCAGGAGAAGAUGCAGAUUUCAAGUUAGUUAGCAAGUUUAAGGAAGCUGAGGAUCAGGCCAUGGUUCUUUCAGAAGAGCUUGAACAAGAGAAUUUUCUUCAGCACACUGAGCUUAGUCUGCCAUCAUUGGUUCAGACAAUUAGAGGCUUGAGUGUUGAAAGGGUAAACAUGGCUUACAAUGUUUCAUCUAUUCUGAAGGAUUGGAUUGCCAAUAGGGCUUCUCUGAAGGAAGAACUUAAAGAAGUUAGGUCAGAAUUGGAUUCAAAGACUCGGAGAUUGGAGAAGGAAAAGAAUGAGUUGCAAUCAGCUCUAGAGAAAGAGUUAGACAGAAGGUCAGGUGAGUGGUCUCUUAAACUGGAGAAAUACCAGGCAGAAGAACAUAGACUUCGUGAGAGGGUAAGGGAGCUUGCAGAGCAGAAUGUCUCACUGCAGAGGGAGGUUUCUUCUUUUUGUGAGAAGGAAGCUUGUAUAAAAAGCAAGAUGACACAUUCUGAGCAACAGGUUGAGGACCUGACUACAAAAGUCAAGGAAUUGAGAGAAGAAAAGCAAAACCUGCAGAAAAUUUUGUCUGAGCUGCAAGAGAAGUAUAGUGCAUCUGAAGAGGGUAGAGAUUGCAUGCAAAGAAACUAUGAGGAGAAGGUGAAAGAAUGCAAGGACUUGCACAGGUCUAUUACUAGAUUACAGAGGACGUGUAGUGAACAGGAAAAAACAAUUGAGGGAUUACGUGGACUUGGUGAGGAAAUUCAGAAGAAGAAUUUUGUGGAGAACAUUGAUAAGCAGCUAGGGAAACUGCAAAUGGAACAAAUAAGGUUGACAGGGCUGGAGCAUGCAUUGAGGAAGGAGGUGGAGUCUUGCAGGCUUGAAAUUGAUUCUCUUCGUCAUGAAAAUAUAAACCUACUACAUCGUUUAAAAGAUGCUGGAAAGGAGGGUGGUUUUUCAACGUUUAAGCUAGAUCAGGAAUUGUGGAAUCGUAUUUGCUGCCUGCAGAACCAAGGACUUUCUUUCCUUGCGGACAGUGCCCAGCUGUGCAAUAAAUUACUUGAGUACAUGAAGUCAAAUUCAAAUCAGUUUACUAAAGCUGGGUUAGGUGUUGAAGACACUGGCUUAAGUAGCCAAUUUAUCAUUGAAUGUGAGGUGAAGCUCCAGGGUUUUAACAGAGGAAUUGAAAACUUAACAAAGAGCUUGUCUGUUGUCUCCACUGUGUUGCAUGAAAAGUCUCAGCCAGUCUCUUUGGAAUCUCAGUGCCCCGUUUUAGGGGUUGACACAUGUCACAGCAAUCAAAAAUCAGAGGUAUUUGGUCUUGACAUAUGUUAUUUUGUUUGUAAAUUUUCAUGUAGAUGUUUCACUCACUUACGUUCUAUGACCCUGUUCUCUCUUAACAUUCUGUUUCAAUUGUAAAGGAUAUAAUACAAUCAGAGCUCAAAGCUGAAACUUUACUAACAACUUUGUUACGGGAGAAGCUUUAUUCCAAAGAGCUGGACAUUGAGCAACUUCAAGCUGAAUUGGCAGCUGCUGUUAGAGGGAAUGAUAUUCUUAAAGCUGAAGUGCAAAAUGCACUGGAUACCCUUUCUUGCUUAAGUCACAAGACGAAAGACCUUGAACUUCAGGUAAUCCUACAACCUUACUAUUUGGCAUGCUUGUGUUUAUAGCAAUUUGAUUUGACUGGAUUGCAUUGCAAUGUGCACCAUAAAUUACAUGAGUGACAAAUUUUGUUAACAACUCUCCACAUUCUCUAUUCUGAUUUUGUACUUUCCAUGGAAGGUAUUGAUUGUGGUCUUAUCAAAAAGAAAAAUGCGUGGCUCAAAGUCACAAUGAAUGAAUAUGCAUAGAGCUGAAUAAUCCUUUUGCUAAGCCUAUUUAUUCACAAAAUAUCUUGUUUAUCUCGUGCAUAUUUCUUUUCUUAUGUUGCAGUUUGUAAUUACAAAGGAUCAUGGAUUUCAUAACUGUUAACUCAUUUAAGUCUGCAAUGCAUCUUGGUUAUUCCAAAUGGUUAAGCAGAUUGUGUCUAGAAUUGAGAAUGAGGGAAGCGAUUUGAGGUUUAAAUUUGAUCUUUUACUUGCGGUUUAAUUUAUGGUGCAUAUUCCAAGAGAUACUUGAGAAUCAGCUUUAGUGCUAAAUUUCGUCACUCAUGUAAUUUGUGAUGCAUAUUGCAAGGUGAUCUAGUCAAAUUAAUCAGAGUAGACCUCAAACUUCAGGAAAUCCUGCAACCUUACUGUUUGGCAUGCUUGCGUUUAUGGCAAUUUAAUUUGACUGGAUUACCUUGGAAUGUGCGCAUUAAAUUGCACAAGGUUAAGCAUAUACUAGUCGUGUAGCAGUCAAAUCAACUGAAAUGAAAAUAAAUUAACUAGUUUCGUUGGAUAAAACAUAUAACUCACUGAGGAGUUUGAACUUUUAUUAAGUUUUUAACACUAAAGCAGGUUAUUAUCUUGGUGCUUAUGCUUAAUCUGUUAAUUUGUGAAAAUCCAUUGUGUAUUUACCAAUUUGUUAUCACUCUGAAGUAUCUUGCAUGGAAUUUUUGCAACCCAAUGAAAAGGUUUUUGUUUUACAUACUGUUUUGCAACUUAACUGGCAUCUUUCUGCUUAUUGGCGCUACAUUGUUAGAAUUAUUUAGUUUCAUACACUUGAACAUUCUGUUUCAAGCAUAUGAUUAACCACUUGUCAGUAUUCUUAUGACUUGAAGUCUCACUACUCAAUUAGCAAGCCUGUGUUCUGAUGGAAGUUAUGCAGCUCAAUUGGCAUAUUACUUGAGCUCAUGGCUGACAUAAUUUUGAUGUAAUCCAUCUUUACGGUUGGCAAUGUUCUAUAAAUGUCUGAUCAUUUUUGUAUGCUAAGAAAAGAAAAAGGAACUGGCGUUUUCUGCUCGCUUGCCUUACCAGUAUUAGGUAUUUUACAUUAAUCUGUUUCAGUGGUAAGAAUUGUUUCUGAAGUCAAGAAUAUAGCGAUUGUCUGUCACCUGAGCUAAUGGGGCUGCAAUUACUUGUGGGGUAAUAACCUGAUUAGACAGCUGACAUUGCACAGAAAUGGUAGAAGCUGUAGUAGAGUAUUUGUAAAAGAUUUUUUCAAAGUUUUAUAAAUUGUCUAUGAUUUUUACGGGGAAUGACUUUUGUAAAUUGCAUGAAGAUGUAUAUUUUAAUUUGUCUAGAAUAUCUGAUUUGGCCUUUUACUGAUGUACUUUAUGUAAAAUGUGAUAAAUAAAAAUUGUUUAGUUUUCUAUGUUGUUAUUACUAUGAUGUACCUUCUUGUUACCUGGCUUUGCUACAUCUUUCUGACAGAUGAUCAAGAAAGAUGAGAAUAUCUAUCAGCUUCAAAAUGAAUUGCAAGAAUACACCAAGGAACUGACAAUUGUUAAGGGAAUUCUACCAAAAGUGUCUGAAGAGAGAGAUUUGAUGUGGGGGGAAGUUAAGCAGUAUAGUGAGAAGAACAUGUUGUUGAACCGCGAGAUCAAUAUCUUGAAGAAAAAGAUAGAGGGACUUGAUGAAGACAUACUGCUCAAAGAAGGUCAGAUUUCAAUAUUGAAAGAUGCCCUGGGCAAACCCUUUGACCUGCUGGCAAGCCCAGAUUCGGAGCAUAAAUACUUGGUGAAUUGAGGGAUAAACGGUGAAUUUGUCAAGAUUGUUUAGAACUGUUCAUAUUUGUACAAAUGUUUUUGUUGGUUGGUUUUUUUUAAUUCUUUGGCUAUUAUUUCUUGAAAAUGAUGUUAAGUACUGUAAGGUUUGCAAUCAACCGUGCAGUUGAUAGUGUUUUUGAGUUUUGCUAAGACGAGAAAGUUAAAAACUUCUGCUAUGGAUUCAUGGGUGAAGUUCUUUUCCCCUCCCUUAGAUAUACAUAUCUUUUCUGUAUUUCUAUAUUUUUAAGUUAGCCUACGUCCUUCUGAAGGAUACGUGGAGAUGCUAGAUUCGAGCGGAACGGUAACAGGGUUCCGGGAUUCUGUAAUUACCAGUGUUAAAUAAUACAUAUCAUAACAAUAGGCAUAAUGCAGGUAAUUUUGUCAAUCAUUGAAGCUGUGCUUACAAUUAAUUUGAUCGAUCUAAUCUCUCAAAUUAAAUAUAGUUGGGUCACUGAUUGUACGAUAUAAUUGCUCGGACAAUUAUAGAGAAUCCAGUCCUAUUAUUGCAAUGAAAAUUGUAAAAGUUGAAGUGGUUAGCUCAAUGUUCUAAGCUCAGAUGAUGGUGGAUUGGCGACAGUGGUGAGCUCUAUAAUCUUCUGAGUAGGAGGUAAAAUUUUGCUAGGAUUGGGGCAACCACAAUAGGGUUAGUAUUUUUAUUUCAUCUAAUAUAAAUUAAAAUAUAGGAUUAUAUUCAUGGAGAGUUCUCUAGUGCAUUUUGGGUAUUAUAUUGAUGAAUAUCAAUUCACCGUUGGAUCAUAGAUAUGUGAAAAGAAAUAUCACUCUUUAGAUGAUUUUAGAAGUUUAUAUUAUUGAAUGAUGUGACAAGAGUUUAUUGGAUUAUAAUCAUGAGUAUAGCCUUAUAUUCACAUGAUUGUAUUUAUGCCUUGGAUUAGUGUAAGGUUGCAAACAAGUCAAAUCAAAUUGAGUUUGAGAGAGGGAUGGAUUGGAUGAUACGAAAAGAGAGUGUUUAUGAAAAGUCUCGAGUUCAAAACCUCCCGCUUAUAUUAAAAAGAAAAAUGUUGAGUUUUGGUCUUAUCGAGCUGUGCUCGACUUAAUUUAUUUUAGAAACUUGAAUCAGAAUGCUAGUUCCACCAUGGUCAAGUUCAAGUUCAAAUAAAAAUGUGAAAAAUAUUUUAUUUUUUAAAAUGGAUAAAAUAAAUAUUUCAUCCCAAUAAAUAAUAAAAAUAAAAAAGAGUGUGCAUGUAUUUUCACACUAAAAAUAUAAAUAUGAGCUCAAUCGAUUUGAUAAGCCAACGAGGCGAGUAUUUAACUUGACUAGCUCGCCUAAGGGUGUGCAUUCUUUACAAAUUCAAUUAUUCGGUUAUUUGAAUUCGAUUUUUUGGGUUAUUUCACUUGUAAAACUUUAAACCGUUUUUAAUUUCGAAUUGGAAAUAAACGAAUUCAUUCGAUUACCAAAUUGAAUUCGAAAAUGGUCAUGAAAUCGGUUAUAACCGAAUUGGAUAGUAAUUUUCAAAUAAUUAAAAUGGGAUUCAAUUGUGUAGUUGUAUACACCUAGUCACUUAUAAUUUACUAAUUAUGCGUUGCAUUAAACUUACAUUUAUUCUUAUUUUUUAUAUAGUUUAAAUGCUUAAGUUGCAAAUAACUUGAUUGCUUUCAAUGAUGAAUGUUAGUACACUAAUAAGUUGACAUGUAAUUCAUAUACAUUCGCUUAGACUGCUUAAUUAUAGUGCUUAGUUGUUUAUGUUUAAUCAAGAUUAGUGAUUAGAGAAUAUUAAUCCACAUAUUAUAUGUGUAAUAUAAUUUUAGAGUAUACUAAUACUUGCAAGAUAAAAGUUACACGUUCAAAUAUUUAAUAAUUCAAACAUGAAUGACGAACCAAUGUCUAAAUUCUAAUUACUAAUGAUGUGUAAUAUUUAGUACUAUACUUAUUAUCUAAUUCUAAUUAUGUAUAAAAGAAUGAGUAUUAUAGUUAUGUAAUAUUGUAUAUUUGAAUUAUUAUAAUCAUAUAACAAAUACUAAAAUAAUAUAUUUUUAUUAUGAUAGGUACAUGAUAAUACUAUAUACUAUCUAUUAUUAAUAGUCUUUACUUAUAUAAUAUAUUAAUACUAUAUAGCAUUUACCUAUAUAUUAUAUAAUUUUUUAAACUAAUUUCGUAUUUGAAUGCGGCAAUAUGGUAUCUUAUUUCAUUUUAUCGAAUUUGAAUUCGAAAUUGAUUAUUACCAAAUUGAAGACCUCGUUACUUAUUUCAUACCACAUUAGAAUUCAAUGAAUUCCGUAAAUAUCGCUUUUGUAUCAAAGUAUCGACUAAUCGAUUUCAAACUACCAAAUUGAAUUUGAAAUCGAAUACAAAUUUGAUCAAAUUACCAAAUUACGUACCGAAUUCGGUGACCCCUAGACCCACCAAUCAAACUCAAGUUCCACUCGACUUAGUGCUGACCAAGCUCUCGCAAGCGCUUGAGUGACUUGCAGCCCUAUCUUUUAGUCUACGAUACAUUAAUUACAUACCAAAUUGGAAGAUUUAGAAAAGAAAUAGAAUCCUCUUAUAAUUCCAAAAAGCACCAGCCCAGGCCCAUUUAUUGAUGUUGUCAAUCAUUUUAGCAAAGCGCACAUAAAAGAUUUUGCUAAAAGAUUUAGGCUAAAAGAAAGAUUUGCAGCCCUAUCUUUUAGUCUAUGAUUCAUUAACUACAUACCAAAUUAGAAGAUUUAGAACAGAAAUACAAUCCUCUUAUAAUUCCAAAAUGCCGGGUCCAAUUAUUGAUGUUGUCAAUCAUUUCAAGCAAAGCGCACAUAAAAGAUUUGGCCAAGUUUUGCAGGGGCAUCGGGGUAAUUCAGCACAAUUAGGAUAUAUCUUUAAAGCAAGCAGGAAUCCUGCUAGACAUCCUAAUAGGACAAAUGGAGAAGAUGUUAGUGAACCGAAAUCCCCUUUGAGUCUCAGAAUUUGGGAAAUAGAUGCGACUAUGCCAUUGAGAAGUGCGAGAGGGUUUAGCUAAAUUUCACAAAAUUAACCAGGAUGAAGGGAUCAAAGAUGGAUGAUGAAGAGAUAGAAAAGGGAGAGAGGCAGAUGGUGAGGAAGCGGAAAAGAAAUGCUGGGAUUGUUGUCGUCGGUAAGUCAAGGACUAUGCUAGAUCAUCUACCUGAUGAACUGCAAUCCGAUAUUCUGACUCGGCUUCCGGCCAAGAAUCUUCACCAGUGCAUGUGCGUCUCCAAGGCCUGGUGCUCAAUCGUCCGGGAUCCUCCAUUCUUGAGGGCUUACUUAAGACAGCAACCCCAUGGCAGCCUCCUCGUCUCUAUCACUGAUGCCAGAGAUUACAAAGGUGACAUGUGGUUUCCUGAAAACCCUAUAGGUCUAGCUGUCUAUUACUCGCCACUCCUUCGAGUUCAGGAUCAGGUUCAAUGUCCGCAACCAUUUCUUAGUUUGGUUAAAAUCCCGUCUUUUGAUUUGUUCAAGGGUGUCACUAAAGUGGUGAAUGGGCUUGUUUGUGCUUAUGGGAGUAUCGGUGCCAUGGUCUGCAGUGUCGGUACUCGGGAAAUCGUGUGGCUUCCAGAAAUUAGUGGGUUCCGCAAUUCCGCUUAUGAAGAUUAUUACUUUGGGUACCAUCCUGGCAAUGAAGUCUACAAGUUGCUCAAGAUAAGCAAGUCUAAUUCUAAGCAGGAAGCCCACAUUCUGACGCUCGGCCGCGAUUCUUCUUGGAGAAAGCUGGCUAUUGGGCUUGAUGGGUCUUCUGAAAGAUUACCGGCUGACAGCUUCUUGUGUAAUGGAGUCCUUUACUGGGUGAUGCAUGGCCUGGUCGAGCGGCUGGGGCUGAUUUCUUUUGAUCUGAAGACGGAGAAGUUCCAAUUCAUUGAACCCCCCAAGCACCCCAUAUUUUCGUCCAGGCAAAGCUGGUGGAUACCGACGAAAUUCAGGGGACGGCUGGCUCUGUUAGUUUAUGGUUUCUGGAAAAAUGCAGAAGCUGAAUGUUUUUCCAUUUAUACACUGGAAAAUUGCGAUGAUCGUGGUUCUAGUUCCUGGGAUAGGCAUGCCAUCCCAACACCCCCUGAGUUUCGAGGUGCAGGUAGAUUUUGUGCACAACUUGUUGGCAACCUCCCCACAGGCCAGAUAUUGCUGACAGAUAUGCAUAUUUGGAAGCAUUGUGAUGAUUUCAUACCAAUAUAUUCUUAUGAUGACCAGAGAAACGAGUUCGAGAAGUUUAUAGUUGGCAGUAUCCCUCAGGAGACCAUUCGUGCUCUGGGAUUUACUUUUAGGUUAUCCUAUAUGGCACAGCAAAAUGUUGUAUCAUUGGCUGUCUUGUUUCGCAAGUGGGUGAAAUCAAAAGUAAAUGCAUCCACCAGUUAGUUGUGGUUUUGUCACAUCUAUGGUUGUGAUGCUCUAAAAGAUAGGCAGAGAGGAAUGGUAGCAGCAGCUGUUGUUAAAUGAGGCAGAGUGAGUGAAUUGCUUGUAAUAUUCUUACAUGAAAUUGUUCAUUGCAGCGAAGAAUAGCAUUUCUCUGUGGCUAGAUGCAUUCAAGAUUUCCUCUGAGAUUUCCUUUUUUUUUCCCUUUCAUUAGCUGGUGAUGCCUAUAAAAGCACCUGAACCUCCCGUAAGCAAAACACAAACACAAUAAUGUUGCGAGGUUUUCCUCCAGAAAUGGUCUUCCAACGGGACAUAUAAUCUUAUCAGUGAGGUGAAAGAAUUUGCUGACAAAAUAGCCUUUCAACGUUGUUAAUCUGAUAGUGAUCAUACAAAUAUACGGGUGUGUUUGCGAAGCAACCGGACCCUUCAGGUUCUCAUGGUUGGCAAAUAAAAACAGGCCACAGGGCCAGUAGGGAGGUUUCCAACUUUCCAACAGGAGCAACCGCUCCCCAGCUUGCAGCAAAAUCUUCAAACCCAGGGGAUAAGGGGAUGGAUAAUAUGCCUAAUCCACCAAUUACCUCUUUUCUCUGGCCUUGUAAAAUCACAUGUAGUUACAAUUGUAGACGUAUUAGUACCAAGUAGUACAUGUUAAACGACGAUUUACAGUCCAAGAACAGAACUUUUUUUUUCCCCCUUUUAAUUGAAACUUUCUAAGGACAGAACUUGUCUUGGAUGGAUCUAGCAUGGGCUAAUUCUUACAAGUAGCCAUACAAGAUAGGCAAUCACAAAGCUUACGAAUCCUAAAACCGACUUCAAACAGGCACGCGUACUGGCAUAUGUUUCCAUCAAUGCAAAUCAAUUACUACAACGUUAAAAUGCUAUAGCACCCAAGCAUUAAAUGCAUCAAUGCAUUAACGCACCCAUUAAUGCGUUAAAGAUAUGCCUUAAAAUGCAUAUCUUUCCAUCAAUGCAUUAAAGCACCCAAGCAAACACAAUGGGGUGUAAUACCCUUUAUUACUCCCUCCCCAAUCUCCAAAGUGAAGUAGGAGUAUAGUAGAAGUGCGAGUACAGUGGAAGAGUAAUAGUCAUGAUGCGUUUCAUGGGUCAUGGCCGUUACACACAUAAUAAAUAGACUGGUUGUAGGUCUCAUUUGACAAUUUCAAUGCUUUAAAUUUUAUGGGAUAUAUACUGUGUAUCCUUAUACUAUAUAAGAACGACUUUGGGAUUAGAUUUCAACCGCAGGGGUGAGGCUAUUUUGGGAAUGUGAGAGUGCUUGAAAAAUAAUUGGAACAUUGAGUACAAGUCAUUAUAACUUUAAUUUCACUAUAAUUACUUAUAUAACCUUUCAGACAUUUAAAGUUAAGGACAGGUUUGGUAUGUUACAAUGUUUGGUGCCAAGUUGAGUAUCAAGUACAAUUUAUAUAAGAACGACUUUGGGAUUAGAUUUCAACCGCAGGGGUGAGGCUAUUUUGGGAAUGUGAGAGUGUUUGAAAAAUAAUUGGAACAUUGAGUACAAGUCAUUAUAACUUUAAUUUCACUAUAAUUACUUAUAUAACCUUUCAGACAUUUAAGGUUAGGGGCAGGUUUGGUAUGUUACAAUGUUUGGUGCCAAAUUGAGUAUCAAGUACAAUUGAAUAAAUCUUGUAUUUUGAUAGAACGAGUUUAGGACUAGAUUUCAACCGCAGGGGUGAGGCUAUUUUGGGAAUAUGAGAGUGUUUAAAGAGUAAUUGGAACAUUGAGUAUAAGUCAUUAUAGCUUUAAUUUCACUAUAAUUACUUAUAUAACCUUUUAAACAUUUAAGGUUAGGGGCAGGUUUGGUAUGUUACAAUGUUUGGUGUCAAGUUGAGUAUCAAGUACAAUUGAAUAAAGCUUGUAUUUUGAUAGAAUUACAUAAAAGUCCUUUUAAUCAUUUAUUAUACUAACAUCCAAGCCUUCCAAUUUCCUAAAACCUUUCUCAUCCAUUAAGGAAUUAAUUGGAUGUUUACAUAACAGGAUUAUAAUUACAAUUAAUUAACUUAAUUAUUAUCUGAACAAUCAUUAUCAUAUUUAUGUCUCCAUGUUUAGCCGAUAUCCUUUUUUCUUUUUCGGUUUCACCUCUUUAAUUUUAUUAUGGAUAUUAAAUAUUUGAUGGAAUACAUAGUUUUUCCUUUAAAUUGAGGUGAGUUCUUUAGAUUUGUUUUCUUCGAUUGUAGUUUUUUUUUUUUUCUGAUGAUUGGUUUAUUCAAGAAUUCCAUAUAGUUUGCCUCUAUGUUAUGAUCUCGUUCUUGUAUUAUAUUGUUUAUAUAGUUUCAAAUACAAAAAAUUUGUUUUUUUAUACUAUAUAAAAGAAUUUGUAGUGGAACUUGAUGAGUUUAAAUGUUUUAGCUACAACACCAUUUUGAUUGCAUUGUAUUAAUUCAUUUACUCAUAAUUGUAUGUUGUACAAUGAUAAAUAAUGUUUCUUGAUUUGAUUGAUGCAACUAUUAUCCAUAGUUCAAACGAGUCAAUUAAGUAGAGAUAUUUUAUUGGAUACUUAUACAAGUAAACAUUGGAAAAUAUCAUUAAGCAGUUUCUACCUAUAGUUUGCAAUUCGAAUUCAUAUAAGGAAUUUCUUCUGAUUUUACUUACCAUUUUCUACAAUUUCAAAUUUAGAAAAUAUUAUUUGCACCAAUUUUUUAUAAUCAAGAUAGUUUCAAUUUAAAUCUUUAACAAUUAUACAUAUUUGAACUUAUUUAUGAGAUUAUAAAGAAAUGCCCCUAGCAAAAAACUCCAAAUCUGAAUAGUUUCUACAAAACUUUGAAAACGAUCACUUAAGUUUCUUAUCUAUCUAUCAUUUUUGGGCAUUAUUAUCUCUGUAAGAAACAUGUGAUUAAGUCGUAUUAUACCCACCAAAUUAUAUAAAUAGUUAGUAAAAAAUAAAAUUAUUUUAGAUUAGAUUGGACGCAAUGUGAUUGAUAGAUAAACUUGAUUUGAUAAUUCAGGUUGAGCUUAAGUCGAGGGAGAAAUCAAAAACAUUACUUGAGGGAUCUUUCACGAAUAUAUAUAGAUUCGAGAGAUGAAGGGUCCAAUUGAUACUUUAAAAUGUUUUAUCAUCUUGGAUAAGUUUUAGAAGAGACCUUUGAAUAUUUUUCAAUUGCACUUCAAACAUUUUUACAUUUUCAAACUACCCUUAUCUUUGCAGUUGAAAUUCAAACAUAACCUUUGAUCACAACGGAUUCUUAUAUAGUAUAACGAUAAGGAUGUUUUACUGCACAUUAUUUUUAUUGACUCACUAUGUAACUUAUAAUUUUUCUAUUAAAAUCACAAGAUAAAAUCAUCAUACUUCAGUUCCCAUACUAUAAAAUAUUAAACAAUAAUUAUUAAUUAUCUUGAAUCACAAGCACCAAAUUCCCGCGCGUCGCGCGGGCUGUCCCUCCCUAGUUAUUAAAAUAAAUAUGUGAUUUGAUCGUGAGUUCAUACUAUUAUAUUCGAUACGAUGGAAUCUAUAGUGAGAGAUAUUAUAAUGAAAAAGAGGAUAAUAAAAUGAUGACGUAUAAAUAAUCUCACGUCAAAAGACUUUAAUUCAUGUAGUUUUAUAACAAAAAACCUUGGCUUUUAGUACCAAUAAUCUCACAUCCCCGUAGGUUGAGAGAGCCUGAUCAAACAAAUCGGUCUCAACCUUGAGUUCCCCGAUUGCAAGCAGCAUUUCUGCAAUUGCUUUAUGCCUUUCAAUUUUGAACACCGAAUUGAUGGGCCGCGGCUAUUGGCUUUAUUCUUUUGUUCGACUAAAAUAGAUAUUCCUUCCCCCGGGUUGCAUAUCAGGAAAAUCGCACACAAGGCCGGCUGACAAAUGACAAAAGAGAGUGUUUUGCGAGCUUCAAUGUAAUUGUAGUAGGGGAAAAAAUAAAAUUGUUCCCUCUGAUAUAUGGAAUAAGCCCAUCGAGUAUCCCCUUUGAAAUGAAAGACAUGAAUCGAACUGCCCCGCAUGUAAUAAGCAUUUCACGUUCAUGGACUUAAUUUUACUUUUGGACUAAAUAAUUUUUAAAAAAAGGCCAUAAAUGACCUCAACUCAUGAAAUGGUUACAUUUGCGCUCUAUCCAAAAUAGUAACGAGUAAAUCAAAGCAUUGGACCUCUAACAAGUUUGCUUUUUUAAGUACAAAAUAACAAGUUCCGGAUUUCUCCCUCCUGCUAUCUCUCCUCCUAAUACAAGACUGCAGUGCUGCGCAUGCCGAGUGGAUGUCUAUGCACGCAUGCACAGAGAGAGAGAGAGAGAGAGAGAGAGACCAUUAUGAUCACAGAUGGUACAAAGGUUGUGGUAACAGUAAACAAGCAGAAAGACAAUGAAUCGGAGAAGGCUUCAUGAACUUCCUAACAAUGCAGUUGCACAAUUGCAUCCCGUUACGAGCAUUACAAAUGGACCAAAGCCUGUGCAAGUUCAGUGUAUGCUUAGAACGGUUGCGUCUCACCUACAGAGAGGCAGAUUUCCAGAACUCAAUGGGCUUCCGAUGCUGAAAGGAUUACAAUGCAACUAGGUCAUGAGGAAGAAUAUGUGGUUACGUCAAAUGAGAAAUGCUAAGUAAGACGAUGUUUUUGCUAUUCGGGAAUGCAAAUUCAACAUAUUUAAAUCAAUAAAACCAUUUUUUGGCUUUCCAUUGGGGUGUUUUUGGGGGAGGGGGAGAAGAAUGAAUUUGUGUAGUAAUAAAGCAUAGUAAACAACUUCCAGUUACCUGGCAUAUGGGCAUUUUUGCUCUAACUGAAUCAAUGAAAGAGAAGUCAAUAUCUGCAACAGCAAUGCCAGUUGACAAACGAUCUGGAACAGCAUUUGAACAGUAUAAUAUGGUCAUUAAGUUUGAAAUUGUCUCUUGCAAGAAGCUUUCAGCUAAUACGAUCGCAAAAUACUAUUUCUCAUACAAGUGAUUUGACCAUACAAAGCUCCCUCAAAUGAAUUGAGAGAAUUUAAUAUGUUGUUUUGGAGCUCUGAUCUAGCUUUCCCUUGGAACAUAUUGACCAUGACAUAAACAUUAAUUUAAAGGCACAAGACUAGCAACUUCCUUGGAGAGAGAGGUAGUGGUCAAAUUUCUAAGCCCCCCUCUCUGAUCAGGUUACUGCCAUAAAUCUAACCUAUCAAGUAGUGACGCAGCAUCUACCAUGCAAGUCCAGCUGUGAAAAGGAGACGGUCAAUGGAUAGGUACAUUCAUUCCCUAUAUGAUCAAACCUUCCCCCCCCCCACCCACCCACACACACACAAACACCCUUCUUUCCGGAGGGGAACAAAAAAAUAAGCAGAGGGGGAAAAAAAAGAAAGAGAAAAUACAUAAUCGUGCUUUCCAUCUGCCUGUUUCAGAGUGAGCCUAUAUCCAAAUCAAACAAGUCAACUAAGGACCAUACAGAGGGAAAGAAGUUAAAACCAAAGAAAUUGAAUAGGGGAAGAAAAUAUUUCAGACCCGGCAACCGCCCAACUAUUGUUCCCCAUGGAUCAAUUAUCAAGGUGUCACCAUAGCUUUCUCUUUUGUCAUUAUGCUUUCCAGCUUGCGCAGCAGCUAUGACCUGUAAGAUGUUUAUGACUGUGAAACAGUGGCAUAAAAUCAGGAAAGAGAGCUUAUACCAUCAGAUAAAACGUAUGUUAAAAACCCAGUAUAAAAGAGAACUCCAGAAAUUGAACGUCUCAGAUGUAUAACAUAUGCAUCCAGGGUGAAUAUUCUUGUCAAAAAUGCUAUGACACAGGUACCAUAUUGUCUGUGUAGGAGCUACCCAUUCACAAACAUAGUUUUGAAGAUCAUUGCCUGGCAUUUUGUCCUGUUGUCAAAAGAUGGAUUCAUGGGAUUUUCAAAGAAACUAAUAACUGUACAUCCAUUGGAGUUGACCCUCCUCCAUGCAGUUAUUGCAAUUAACUAAUGUUUUAAUACAAAAUUAGACACACAUAUUAAAAUACAUAUUUCGGUAAAUAUCAAUAGCAACUAAAACAUGCAAUGUCUUUCCAAAGAACAACUUCAUGUAGCUGAAAAUUUCAGGCAGACGUUUAUUAGAUUGCACAUGUCAAUAUGCAGUAACCAUGAGAGGAGAACAUCUAGACUCUUUCAGGCUUAUCUUGAAGAGGUAUGAACGCAAAGAAAAUCAAUGCAGAUUGUUUUUCGCUAUUCAAUUCUAAGAAAACGAUAAAAUCAUAAAACUUGCAUAUAACAAAACACUACAAGCUGAAGUGUUGUUCAAUCAACUAUUACAGAUGGUGCUUAAAAAUAAAAAUAAAUUAAAAAAAAAAACCUUUGGCAGUAAACUAAUAGUAGAAAACCAAAAUGUUAGAGGAGGAUGAAGAACAUUCAUACAUAACAUUGAGUUUCAAUUGCACGAGCACGAAGAAGAAUCUCCCAGUGUGCUUGACCUGUUGGUUUUGUAAAAGCAGCAGGUACCAGUAAGACCUGCCAAAGGGAAAAGUGCAAAUCACUGUAUAAGGAUACAACUACUAUUCCCACGUGCAUAAAAUGAAUUUUUACCUGUGCAUUAUGGUGGAACCUCAACUGCUGAUAAAGCUCCGGAAAUCUCAAAUCAUAACACACUGUCAGACCUAAAUGUCCAAAGGGGCUAUCUACUGUAACAAUCUCCUUCCCUGUAAAAGCUCAUCAGUUUUUAGAGAGAGAGAGCGAGAUGGGGUGCAACAACUAUUGGAAGGAAAAUGAACUAAAUUAAGUACUGUAAUUUGGAAUUCUUGGCACCCACUUGGUAAUUGUGGAUCUACCUAGCUAGGUUCUGAAUUCACUGAUUAGUUGAUACCUUAAAUCCAUCUUCAAAAACAAAAUUUCAAGAUAAUCAUUUGGUUUGAUCUGGAACAAUUGCACCGACCAUAAAAUAUACGCCAACAAGUUAUCCAGGUAGACAGACACAUAUGCACCUAUAUAGAUAUCCAUCUCUUGGAAUACCAUAUAGAGAAAAUAGCAUGGCUAUGAACAAAUAAAGCUAUAUUUCAUACCAGCUUCUGUAAAGCAGCUCUCCUUGUAAACUGCACUUCCAGGGACAUCCACGUCAAAUCUUCAAAUGUUCAACAACUUAUUCAGAUAUUCGAUCUAAGAAAUUUACAGGAUAAUUGAGAUAUCAUUGGCAUAAACUCGUGUCUUUGAGAUACCAUCGACAUAAAUGAGAGUAUCUGGUGAUUUAGUUGUACCCAAAUAGAACAGUAAGACCAGGGGAAAAAUAGUGUCAAAGAUCUUACAGGUGCAUCUUCCGGAAUACACUUCUGAUAGUCCCAGCAUCAUCAAUUAAAACAUGAGCAUUGCAUAGAUGUGCAUCAUCAGGUCCUUUUUCUUGGAAUCCUCCAAGAGACAGCCACAUAUUUGAAUCCCUUCACAAAGACAGUAAAAUUUUAGCUUCAUAGUUCGGAAGCUCAUAAUACCAAAUAACAAGAAAAAAAAAUUCACUUGAACAACCAAUUGAAUGGGUUGAGAAAUAACCAAAAAGUGGAAGUUUUAACCAAUCAAGACCGUUUAGAAUAAAUUACUAUUACUUCAAAGGGUGGAGAGCAGGAUCUCCCUUGAUGUUUCCUUAUAUCCUUAGAAUUUUUUUUCUUUUUCUCCUAAAAGACUAGAAAAGUGAAAGGAAAAAGGGUUCUUGGCCUUACCUUGCAAGAGAACAAUACUCCUUCAUAAUUGGUCCAUCUAAUGGUUGAGCAACCUUCAAACUGUCUCCAGCUAGGUCACCAACAUAUGAAAAAUUUUCUGGAAAACAAAUCAAUUUCGCCCCAGCUGAAGCUGCUUCCUUACAAAAAUUAAGCUUUAAUUAUUAGUUUGAAAAUAUGACACCUACAAAAUCCCAAUAGUGUAACUUCUAUGUUGCUUAUGACCUACUGCAACAGAUAUUUAGUUCCUGUUUGGAUCAUGAAGUGUGAAGGGAGAAGAAAAGGAUAUUCUGAAAGCAAAAAAUGAUGGAAAAGAACCAUAUCCUUUUAGUUCACAAUAUAUUUCGGAAGAAAAAUCAACAAAGGUAUUAAAGAAUGACAACAAUUUCCCUUUGAAGUUAAUAACUUCCUCUCCCCCUUUUACAUGAGAUCCCGCACAUUGUAAGUUUCAGCCAGUAACUUCUGUGGGUAAACUUUCCUAUGGAGCUUGAACCACUAACUGUGGCAAAAGCAAUCUACAUGUGUAAUCGCCGCAAAACAUUCAGCAGCAUCAAUUAUCUUAAAUGUGCCCCUCUGCAUCAGCAGCCAUUCUCUCCUGGUAUUGGCAAUAGGUAUCUAGAAUUUGAAAUACAAAUUGUCCUCUUAGCGUUCCUUUCUUGGUAAAUAACAAGUCCAAAUGGAAAUUCGCCAACUACCCAGUGGUAAAAGUUACAAACCAAGCUUCAUUACUAGUCCGACGUGUGAUCAUAGCCAUAACUUCACACUCUAGCACAUAAGUGGCAAGAUCAAACUUAAACCACGAUUCAUCUAUUUUGCAACUCUUCUUUCAAUUAUAAUCCCCUGCAUACAAUUUAAGAGUUAACAAUCGUUUCACACCAAAAAUCCCACUAUGUAUUAGUUUAUGUUGGGGAUGCACAAGCACCAAGUCAAGGAAACAGCAGGGCUGAAGCUCUUUCUUAUGUUAUGUGUUUUUCUUUUCCAAAACUAGAAUCCAAACCAAAUACCUCAAAUAAAGACCUCUUGUGCUUUCGUGUUCAUUGGUCAUAACAAAUCCCUCCGUUAUAGCCUAUAUUCAGCACAUACAACUUUUAGAGGCAGCUAUUCAACACCCUCAGAUAAUAGUCCAAUCAAGAAAAUUCCCAGUAAUACAACCAUUCGCAGGAAUUUAGUUUAAAAAAAUUACAUUUAGGAAUAAAGUAGGUACACAUCCGUUUCCAAUUUAAAAAAAAAAAGAGAGAGAGAGAGAGAGAGAGAGAGAGAAAGGAAAGCAAAGCGAGAAAAAAAAUCCUAGUUCUUAUUGUGUUUUGAAUUUUCCAUUCGCUGCAGAACCAACGGAGAGUCCUCAAAGUCAACUCGUUGCACAGUAAAUAAUUUAAAAAGUAAAGCAAAAUAACACUAAAAAUGGUCAGUGGAGGAAGGUACUCUAACGAGGCGAGAGCAGGUGGCGAAGUUUGCGGCGACGUCGUUGAUCGAAGUCAUCUGAGCGGCAGCGACGCGGACUGUGUUGGCCAUGGUUGCUAACUAGCCGGCGGCGAACACUCGAAGACGGAGGACUGGGAAGUUGGAAUGCUGAUUGGUUGGGCUGAUGACUUUUGGGCCGGAGAUCAUUGUCUUAGGCCUUUUUGGUCGCACAUAGUGACAAAGGUCCAUUCUCAAUGUCGUCAUGAGAGAUGUCACUAAUCUUGAUUUUGAUAGGAAAUCUCACCAAUUUAGUUGCUCCUCCAAGAAAAGAGAUGAAAUGUAUUCACUCAUGUAUACAACUUCACUAUCACUUACACAUAUGAAAAUUUGAUGCCACAUUGGUGAUUAAUGAAAUGCAGCUAUAUUAGUUUUUAAUUUUAGUUUUGUAUUAGCAAGAUCAAUGUGCAUUCUAAAACUUAUUGAUGGAUUAGAGUUAUUUUUUCAAGGUAGUUCAUAUUUUGUAGUUUUAAACGGCUAUUGAAUUGUGAAUUUUUGUAUAACACUUUUUUUUUUUAAGUGUAAGUGAGAAGUUUCAAACUUAAAUGACAUAUAAUUGGAUAUUAACGAGAGAAGUAGAAUUGGAUCUUUAACCCAAGCUAACAUACAAAAAAAUGAAAACAAGAGAAAGGAUUAAUUUACUUUGUUUAGUUGAUUCUAAAGUUAAGGGAAUAUAUAUACAGUUUUCAAAAUUUUAAGGGAUUCUUUAUGACAGUGUAUGCAGACUUGAGUUUGGAUAAGAGAUUAUUUAAAAUAAUUACUAUAAUAUUAUAUAUGUGAGAUAAAAAUAAUGAUUAAAAAAGUAUAUUGAAAAUUUUGUUUAUAAUGCAAAUAAAUAAUUUUUUUGGCCGUACAGAAAGUUUAAUACGAGACUACGAGUAGAUGCUGCUUUUGGGAUCAAUACUCGUGCCAAAAAUUUGGUUGAAGCCUCGAGAGUGGAUCCCCCGUUUCCCCGUUUCUGUGCUCCAGCCUCUCACCCGUUGAGGGCCAGCACUUUUCUCUUACUGGCAUACCCAAGCCGAAAAAUCAAGCAGGGCAAAACCAGAAGAAGGAGGAGGCAAGUUGAGGAAGAGUUAAAGAAAGAAAGUAAAGAGGAGGGAUGUUGUUUCAGGUAGGAGGACAAGGGACUCGUCCCACCUUCUUCGAAAUGGCCGCUGCCCAACAGCUCCCGUCUAGUCUUCGUGCUGCUCUCACUUACUCUCUCGGUGUAAGCUACUCAAAGUUCAAACUCCAUUUGGGUUCUUCAAUUUUCAUCAAAAUUCUUGUUUUUUUGUCUUCUUUUUUGUUUUAAUUCAGUAACUGGGCUUGUUUUGUUUUGUAGGUAUUGGCUUUAAGAAGACCCUUUAUUCACAAAAUCCUGGACUAUGAGGAUGAAUUCUUCGCUUUGCUAAUGCUUGUCUUGGAAACCCACAGCUUGAGAACAACCGAUGCUUCUUUUGCCGAGUCUCUUUAUGGGUUGAGAAGAAGAGCGGUUAAUAUUAAAGUAAAAACAAAGGAUAAUAUUCACAGCAAGAAGAAGAUUUUGCCAUUGGAUUCCCCUGCUGACGCAAUUCAUCAUAAUGGCUUAGAGAAACGCCAGAAAAUCCUCUCUGUUGUAGUUUUGGUAAUUGUUUCGUUUUCUUUUGGCACUCCUUAAAUUCAGUUACUUCAUGUUUUGCAUAAUGGAGAAGAAUUUUGUCUAUGUGACGAUUCAUAAUUUUUGAAAUAAGCCCUUUUUUUUUAUCGGUUGUUCUCAUUACUCUCGAUUGGUCGUUUUUUAAUGCUGGAUAUGUUUCUGUUGUCAAAGAUCCUUCCUUUUUGACACUCAAGCAAGCUUCUGGCUUUUUUUUAUUUUUAGUAGAGUUUGUUUACUGUGUUCUGAGUUAGAUAAACGUUGUGUAGGUUGUGUUGCCGUAUUUUAGGUCCAAAUUGCAGUAUGUAUACAAUAGAGAAAGGGAAGCUACACUUCAAGCGAGCUUAUGGGGUGAGGGUGAGGAAAGAUUUGGCAACAUAGACUACUUUGAUGGAAGUGGAAAUUCCUCAGCUUCUGGGAGCAGUUCUGGUGAAGAAGCAUCUACCACGAGAAGAUGCGUCAUGAAGAGAAUACAGAAGAUUAUAGCUGCUUGCUACCCGUGGAUACACGCUGGAAGUGAAGGUUAAUGCUAGUCUCAUUUAUGUGUAGUUUGGGUGUUGAAAAUUCACUGGCUUUUCCUCCUUAUUCUAGAUUUGCUUAAGCUUCACUUGGAUUUAAUGCUGUCGCCUUCUUCAUGUUCUAUCUGUGUGCUUAUGCCAAUCUAUGUCUUGCUCUUUCCAAACCUUGCUACGCUAGGACUUAGGAAUCUGAGCUCAUGGCAAUGCAUGCUUGUUAAUUUGUUUAAUUAUUGGAUGCACCCACUCCGCAUCCACAAAGUAAAAUGUUUUCACUUUACACUUGGAUGAAUUUAAUAGUUUUCUACUGAAAAUGGCACCAAAAGGCGUGCUUGGUAAGGAGCGGGAACUUUUUUCUUUUGGAUGGAGUUGUAAUUAUUCUUUGGACCAUCUUCCAUAAGACCAUCUUCCAUAAGCUGUGACAAAUGAUAUGAAUUUAGUUUCCUCUAAUUGACCUGUUUUUUCUUUGCAGGAUUGUCUUUUGCUUAUCAGCUUUUGUAUCUACUAGAUGCUACUGGGUUCUACUCUUUAGGAUUACACGUUUUAGGGAUUCAUGUUUGUCGAGCUACAGGGCAGGAGCUGGUACUUAUUCUAGAUAUGUAUCAUGUGUACUGAUCUAUUAGAUCUAUUGUCAUCCUUCUUGUCUGUGGACUAACUUUGCUAUCUAAAUCAGUUUACAACUUGGUAAUCUAUACUUAUAUAGGAUCUUGCAUGGAAAUUCAUGCAUAUCUCCAAACCAUGAAUGUUGCUUACUUUAAAUUUUUUUUCUAUGUGUUCUUUAACUAUCAGACACUUGACUAGGUGCAUUUUCAUAUAAGUCUUAUAUUUAUCUCCACAAAGCUGGUAGUUUGAGGAAAAGAUCAAGUAAGAAAAUUUGUAUUUAAAAUGGAGAAAGUGUUUAUUUAUUCAAUCAAACCACUCUUCGACAUACUUGUAGAUGUUAGUUGAAUCAGUUGAGCCAUCUUUAAACCUUUUUUUAGGACCUAGCAGUGCAUUUAUGAUGGACUGAUUUCAGUUAUGUUUCUACUUAUUUCCUUUCAUUUCUUUGAGCAUGGGCACUUUCUUUUGACAAGGUAGAUGGAUACAUCUUCAAGAAUUUCUAAAAUCAGGAGCCGCGAACGUGAGAGACUCCGUGGCCCCCCUUGGCUGAAGGUAUGUGAUUCCAUAUUUCUUAAUGGUUUUAUGCUGAUACUUUGAAUAUUGUUAAUAGUCUGAGAUUAUGUGGAGCAGUUACCAUGGUUAUUCAAGCAUUGUGCAUGUAGAUGCCUAUCAUGUUAUCUAUCAUAUUUCUGAACCUCAACAAAUUUGGCUCUAAGAUUCUAGUGGUUGUCAUCUUUUUGAAACUAUAAAUUCAAUGACUAUUUUGAAGGUUCUAUGAUCAAUAACUUGGCUAUUUGCAUUUCAGGCAGUGCAAGGUGCACUUCUAAGCAGUAUGUAUGCAGUUCUUGACUAUGCACAAACUGGUUUAAUUGCUGCAGUAUUUUUCUUUAAAGUAAGUGCAAUUCACCGAGAUUAUGUCAAAUCCUGCAUUAGCAACUUUAUUUGAUUCUUUCUUUAUCUUCAUGUCAUUGUCUUAUCAUCAUUGGUUCAUUUGAUUUUUCUGUUGGUUUCAUAUUCUUCUUUAUUUAUUUUAAAGUCCCCUUCAUUGGGGUCUGUUUUUCAUUAUAUUAAAAACUCUGUUGGUUUCAGACUUGAUUAUGUUGAAUCAUGCAUCUUAUUAGCUGUAUUUUCUUUUCCAUUAUUGUCCUGUACUCUCUUUCUCUCUCUCUCUCAAAGACACACAGAUUUCCACACAAGAUGGCAAAUAAAAUCCAUGACUUUUCAUUAUUGAUGUGAAUGUCAGAUGAUGGAAUGGUGGUACCAAUCUGCUGAGGAGAGAAUGUCUGCUCCAACAGUGUAUCCCCCACCACCACCUCCUCCUCCCCCAAAGGUGAGGUUAUUUUCUUUUAAUGUGUAGGAAGUUCCACAAACGGUUGGUGGCUUGUUAAGAUUUUAUAUUUUCUUGCAUGUAGGACAUUCUUUUGUGACUCGUGAGAAAGGUGCAGUAAUUGUUAUGUUUCAUAUGAAUAGUUCCCAUAGUGAAGUUAUUCCUAUCUGACACGUGUGGCUCACCCAUUGCCAAGUCUUGGGAAAUUUUUGCAUGGGGGCACCAUUGAUGGUAAUAAAUGAAAAAAAAAUAACAAUCAUAGGUGCAGAAAUGCUAUAAUGAUAAGGUUUCUUACACAAAUUGAAAAAAAAUGAAAGAAAAGGACACGAAUGAAAAAGUAUGAAGGACUUUAUGCACAUUGUGUUUCUUGAGAAAUUUGAUAUUCACACAGAUUAUUGCUUCAUUUUGAAACAGGUUGCAAAGGAGGGAAUUCCACUACCUCCAGAUAGAACGUUAUGCCCUUUGUGUUCACAAAAGCGUGUAAAUCCAUCAGCUGUGGCUGUUUCAGGAUUUGUGUUUUGUUAUUCUUGCAUAUUUAAAUACGUCUCUCAGGUUUGUUUCUCCAUACCUGUUUAUUGAUCAUGGUAAAAUUGCAGAACAUGUUCAUUAAAUGUUGAAUAGAAUUAUCACAUUAAUACCUACAUUCUUCGCUUCGUGCAAAUACAGUACAAGCGCUGCCCAGUCACCUUGAUGCCUGCGACAGUGGAGCAAAUUCGGCGGCUUUUUCAUGAUAUGUAGGAUAUCUUUUUAUAGGGGUAUUUGGAUUUAUAGGGGUAUUUGGACCCAACCUUCAGAUGUAGUACAUGAAGUAGAGUCUAAUAUCUUCGUGCCCAAAAAUCUGUGCAUGGUAGGCUUGUAGCAGUUCUGUACUGUAUUCUCCAAGUAUUGAGUGAUGCUUCCUAUUAUGCCGCAUUUCAGGAAGCUUUUAUCAUCUUGCUAUAUAGUCUACACUAAACUUAAACAGUAAAUUGUACAUCUGUAGCCAGAAAUCAAUUUCUGCAACUUAAUUCUUUUGUUUAAUUAUACUAGCAGUUGGCCUGUUACCUCAGUUCAGUUACAUGAGGUUUGCCAUGUUCAGUUACAAUUCGAUAUUGUUUUGAGUUGCUGAUGGGCUGGGCUGCUUGGCUUGGUCCUAAUAUUUGAGGGCUUUCCGUAGUUCUCGGGUUUCCAAGGUACACUUUAAUGGUUUAACAUGCUCCAAACCUGUAAAGAACUUUGAUGUUAAUGCCUCAAUGUGGUGUUUAAGCGUAAUAUGACAUUUGGGGUGCAGCUUUGCUCAAGGACGUGGCGAAUUGUAUAUAGCACAGCAGAUUCGAUUUUUUUUUUUUUUUUUUUGUGCACUAUUGGAUCAAAGAGACAGUUAAUAUUUUCUAAAGGUUUUGUAGAAAAAUGUGUUAUAUUGAUUUGAUAUGUGUGACGGUGUGACGUAAAAAUGUUAUUGAGACGUGUGUUCAUGGAAAAUUUAAAUUUUCGGUGGAAAAAUGGCCAUUCAAAGUAUUUUGAUAGAUACAGCUUGAUGUUGCGCUGAUAAUUAUGAUAUGAUCUGGUUGGUCGCUCAUUGCAAAACUGCAAAACAUGAUAUUUGAAGCAUCUAAUCCAAGCGACUCUCAUCCUCUUCUUAAUUGAAGAAUUUGACACUCUCACCGUAACAUUGGACUUCACACUUCGAAAUUGCAGCAAAUAGAACGAACAGAACUGGUUAGACUCCGGUUAGUAGAUAUGCUAAACUUGGACCGUAGCACCGUCCAGCGUUCUCUCUAACCUGGCCUGAAAUGGUGUAUGGUGGCCGUUCAUUCCGCCCUGCAAAGCGCGGAUCAUAUAUCAGCACAUGAAAUCUACUAUUCAAGUUCCAAUUGGACAACUGAAAUACGCUCGAUACCUUUCUGCACUCUCUUGAUGUCGUGCAGGAUGUGACUGACGUUCCUUUGCCAGGUGAACGAGUGUCAGCAGCUCUGGCUUCUCUUGUGUGCCUCCAGUAACUCCCUACUGUACCUAUUAUAGGCAUCUCAUCUGGACUGUGCCUUGGUGAUCGUCUAGGAGAUGGAGUCGCAGAUUUAGACAUCUGUUUCAAGUCUUCUACUGUCAAUACUCCCAAAAUUGGCCUAUCCUCAAAGCUUGUUGGAGACUCGGUUUUCUUUGGGGCUGAGUUCCCAACAGAACCUGGACUAUUCCCAUCAGGCGGAGUCUUAUCAGAUUCCAUUAACCAGCUUGAAAGGCUAGUAUCAACUGCAACUUCAUCGUGCCUAAGUCGGUUGGAAAAUCUCUUUGACCGCUGCUGUUGUGAUUGAUUCGGGUUAGGUUCUUCACUAAAAGGUAUAGGAUUUUUAGAAGUCAACGAAGAAUUUUCUUUUUCAGCGCAAGGGAUCGUGAAUUCCUGCACCAAAUUGAGAUUUUCCUUUUCCUGAUGCUCCAGGGAUGAGGUGGUUUUGGCUCUCACGGCUUUCCAUUGCCCAAGGUUCUCUAUUGGGUUCAGCACAGGAUGAACAUAUUGAGUCCUAUCUCUAGCAUUCGGCCUGUUUACCUCUCUGUCUGAAGCUGGUUUAAGCGGACUGCUGACCUCUUUCUCAUCUCUUUCAACUGCAGAACUUUGUUUUCUAGACUCGAUAGAUAUAGAGAAUAAUUCAGAUGACUCUUCUUGGAUAUCAACUGAAUCUUCAGAACCAUUUUUCUCCUCGUAAUUGCCAUCCAUGUUGUCAUCACUCUUCCCAUCAUGCUCCUCGUCCUCUGGAUUGUUCUUUUUCAAACCCAUAUCAACACACUCAUCAUCACUAGAUUCACAGUUCUGGUACCUAUGGUUUGGAGGAUAUGUGAAAAGGCUUGAAAUAGUUGAAUCGGAAAGUAAAUCGGCCUCGUCUUUGCUCUCUUCUUUCUUUGCUUUGCCUUCCUUCUUCUCACUGGAACUAGGAAAAUCUAGGAUGACCUCAGGUCUGCUUUCAUCCCUCUUCUUUCGUUUCUGAUCAUUUUCUAGCGCGCCUUCUUGGGCUUGGCAUUCCUCAGGAGCUUUCAAAAGUAAAUCAAAUGU